AACGGUGGUUAUCGCCCAUCUCUCGAAGCAUUUCCAUCAGCAAAAACUCAACCUCCCACCGGGUCCAAGGCAAUGGCCUAUAAUUGGAAACUUAAACCUCAUUGGCACCCUUCCUCAUCGUUCACUCCAUCAACUCUCCCUAACAUAUGGUCCCCUAAUGCACCUUCAAUUCGGCUCCUUCCCAGUUGUCGUUGGCUCCUCCGUGGAGAUGGCCAAAGUUUUCCUCAAAACCAUGGACGGCACAUUUGCAGGGAGGCCUAAAACUGCAGCCGGAAAAUAUACCGCUUAUGAUUGCACCAACAUGACUUGGUCCCCUUACGGACCAUACUGGCGCCAGGCACGUAAGAUUUUCCUUACGGAAUUAUUCAGUGCAAAAAGACUCGAAUCAUAUGAACAUAUUCGGGUGGAAGAAAUGAAUUCGCUUCUGCUACAGCUAUUCAAGUCAUCAGGCAAGCCUGUCGUGUUGAAAGAUUAUCUUUCAACAGGAAGUUUGAACGUGAUUAGCAGGAUGGUCCUGGGGAAAACAUACAUUGAUGAGUCUGAGAACUCAAUUGUCACGCCCGAAGAAUUCAGGCAAAUGAUGGACGAGGUGUUUUUGCUGACUGGUGUGUUUAACAUUGGUGAUUUCAUACCUUGGAUCGAUUUCUUGGAUUUGCAGGGGUAUAUCAAGAGGAUGAAAAUCUUGAGCAAGAAAGUUGAUAGGUUUCUGGAGCAUGUUCUCGAUGAACAUAAUGCCCGGAGGAAGGACGAAACUGAUUGUGUCAGCAAGGACAUGGCGGACGUCCUUCUGGACCUUGCAGAUGAUCCCACUUUGGAGGUGAAGCUAGAGAGGCGUGGAGUCAAGGCAUUGACUCUGGUAUAUGUUACUUACAAACUGCAUAACGCAUGCUGUCAACUUUUAAACGACUGAAAACUUGAGAGAAAAUAGUCAGUGAUCUUUUGAACUUGAGAGAAAUCUUUUUAACUAAUUUUUUAAAAUUACGUUUUCAUUCAGAUAUCACAUUCGGAACAUUGAAACAUAAAUAAGUUUAAGAACUUCAAUGAUUGGACUAAGUUUCUUGCUGCACUUUGCGUAAUGAUUGAACUCUAGGACCUACUUGCUGGUGGAACCGAGACCUCAGCGACUACAAUAGAAUGGGCCAUUUCGGAGCUACUGAAAAACCCAGAAAUAUUCAACAAGGCAGCCGAAGAACUCGACCGUGUUAUCGGUCAGAAUCGAUGGGUGAACGAGAAGGACAUGCCAAAUCUUCCUUACAUAGAGGCUGUUAUUAAAGAAACAAUGCGUAUGCAUCCCGUGGUCCCAUUGCUAGUGCCAAGAUGUGCUCGCGAAGAUUGCAAAGUUGCAGGGUACGAUAUUCAAAGGGGAACUCGAGUCAUCGUCAACGUUUGGUCAAUUGUGAGGGACCCUGAAUUGUGGGAGAAGCCAGAGGUAUUUUGCCCCGACAGAUUCAUGGGAAAGGACAUUGACUUCAAAGGGCAAGACUGUAAGUUCUUGCCAUUUGGUGCUGGAAGAAGAAUGUGCCCAGGGUAUAGUUUAGGCCUCAAGGUUAUCCAAUCUAGUUUGGCCAAUCUUUUACAUGGAUACAGAUGGAAGUUGCCAAAUGACAUGAAACCUGAGGACCUGGACAUGGAAGAAAGAUUCGGCAUUACUACACCAAGAAAAAUCCCACUUGUUGCCAUUGUUGAGCCUCGGCUUCCUCGUAAUCUUUAUUGACUAUGAUUCACUACGUGUAUGUUUGAUCUCCCAGUAUCAUCAUUAUCAACUUGUGUUCAAAUAAAUCAGCUCUGCAAGUUUAGAAUUUGUAGCUGCGCUUAUAUGUGUUUGCCAAUUGCCACAACGCUACAAAACCCUUGUAGUUGGUGCAUGGCAUAUACGUAAUCACUGAGAUUGUUAUGCGUAUUGAAGUCCAAAUUUGUUCGCAAUUAUGUGAAACUGUGAAUAGGCACACCCCUGAUGUUUCAAAUACAUUCUAUAACACUCUGAUGCUAAUUUAAAUCUGCAAUAGUAGGUUCACAGUCAAAGCAAUGUGCUCUCUGCCAUCUUUCCUCUUAGCAUCUUCCAUCAAUUCCUGUGCACCUCUAAGCCAUGCCACUGGAUUGGUGCUACUUUCCGUACUUGUUGGGAGGAAGAGAGAAAGAGAGAGAGAAAAAAAAAAAGGGCAAAUUACAUUUUAGCCCCCUGUGGUUUUCGAAAAAACCACAUAACCCCCCAUCGUUCAAAAAGCUAUACAUAAACCCCCUGUGGUUUGGGUUGAACUGGCAAAUAGACGGAAAGCAUCCACCGUAACGAUUCGUGGGCAAAACGCGCCUGUUCUUCUGGUAGCAGUAGGAAACAUACCCAUAUUACCCCUGACCAAUUUGACGUACCCAAUAAAGCCUAGAUGGGUGCUCCUCAUCUCUUUCCAUCUUCCGAAAUACUUUGUAGCUGACUUUGCACUGAAUGUUGGUGAAGGAACCCAAGAUAGAGAACGAAGGAAAUCUGAAGGUGAGUUCUAACAUCAAGGUGCAGUCUUUUCCUUUUCCUGAAAUAUGACUUGAAUGGAUUAUUAAUUUUUUUUCAAUAAACUAUAGAUGUCAUGCUCAAGCAGUGCUGGUGGAAGUACUGAAGAUCUAAGGUACCAAUACCUAUUUUGUUCAUGUGGGAGAAAAGCAGCGGUAAAAAUUGUUGAAUCUGACAAACCUUCAAAAGGAAAGCUAUAUUUUGUUUGUGCGACAAGAAGUUGUGAAUUUUUCUCAUGGUGCAAUCCAACAAGGAGAAUAAGACAAAAUUACACUAGUGAUUUGAAUGUUACAAGGAGAGACAUAUUUAGUGGAGAAUCAAGUAUUGAUAGUUCAGAAGUGGAAGGCUUGCGCAUGGAUGGUGGUUUAUAUUUGAGGAAAAUGAAAAACAUUGAAGAAAGCUUAGGAGCCAUGAAGAUUUGCGUGGGUGCUUGUUUUGCUAUAUCUGUGCUAUCAUUUCUCAUUUUGAUGUUUAAGUGAAAAUAAUUCAGAUGAAUUGUGGCUCUAAAAGUGUUGUAAAUCUGAACCUGUUGUGUUCAAUGAAUGAAUGAAUGAAUCUGCUUUGGUAGUCAAUUGAUAUAAUAGGCAAACAUGAUUUCCAGUUGGUAUGAACCUGCUUUGGUACUCACAGGCUGAACUUGGUACUCAUCGAGACAGCAUAGCCAAAAAGCACAUACAUGAGCUAUCCAAAGUGGACAUUUGCAAUGGUUUAAAGCAAAAGAAAGUAUCUCAAUUAAUUUAAGGGAUAAUUUCAGAAACCUCCCCUGAGAGUUGGACGGGUAACUAGUGUGUCAGAGAGUUGCCAUAAUCUCCUUAAACCCGCAUGCGGGUUUAAAGAGUAUUCGGAUAUUCUCAUAUGCACCUAUGCAAAUCGAACCAACCGGAUAUCUUAUCCGUAUCCCAUUUUUUUAAAUAAAAAUCUUAUAAAUUUGAAAAAUAAAAUCAAAUUUAGAUGUAUUAGGGUUUUAAAAAUAUUAUAUAAGUGAUAAAAAUUUUAUAAAUUGUAAAAAUAAAAUCAAAUUUAAAUAAUUAAAUGUUAUAUUUGCAUAAGAAAUAAUACAAUAAUCAUAAUAAUGAUAAUAUAAUAAUAUUGGUGUAAUAAAACUGCCAUUAAUUUAAAUAUUUACUUAUAAUGCCCAAAGAGUCUAAUUACCAAUUUUUUCUUCUCGCGCUCAAAUAUAACAUUAACCCGCAUGCGAGCUAACCUUGAAAUAGAAAAAACACAGAAUCCCGCUUGCGGGUUUCAGUGUUAUUAUGCAGGCGGGAUUUUAACCUGCUUGCUUGUAAACAUGUACCACAUUGCUCUGAAAUUAUCCCUUAAUUUAACUACCAUUAUAGCUAUGCGGCAAGAGUUCAAGUAUAGACAAAUAAGGAGCAGUAAAGGUUCAGACUAAGUUCUAAAGCAAAAAAGCACACAUCAAAAGCCAAUUUCCAAGAUGCCUCAAGCAUGGAACCAAAUUCUGAAGCAUUGAACCAAGCAUUGAACCAAAUUCGUAUGACUUACUUAACAUGGGCUCACACCACUGAACUUUGGAUUCAUUUGACAAUAUAGCUGUCCAGAAGUUCAUAACCAAUUUUUACAAAACAAAAUAAGGUACAUAAGUAGCUAAUCAUUAAGUCCAGCAGACACCAAGAUUCAACAAAAAGUGUAGCAACAACAUAUUAACAGUAGACACCAAGAUUCAACAGAAAGUGUAGCAACAACAUAUUAAAAAAAAGCAUUUGCAGACAAAUAACUUAAUUGAAUUACAAACACGUUUAGCCCUCUUAGUCCUCACAUUCUAGAAACACGUUUAGCUUUCUUAGCCCUCAAAUUUUCCAACACACUUGCAACUGUUGGUACAAGUUUUCUGACUCUAGUUGAUCUUCUAGUAUCCAAAAUGGGUUCAACAGCAGAAGCAGUUCUUGUAGUAUCCAAAACAGGUUCAACAGGUUCAUCAGUUGGUCUUCUAGUGUCCAAAACAGGUUCAACAGGUUCAUCAGUUGGUCUUCUAGUUUCAAAAACUGGUUUAGCAGCAGAAGUUUCACAAGGCUGCAUAAAUAGAUAGGUUUAAGUCAGUUAAAUGCAGUAAUUGCAGUAAUAACCAUCAUCAUUAAUAGUACCUGUGACACUGAACCCUGUUGUGAGACAGAUCCAAUACUUGUAUUUCCAGCAUUUACAACAUCUUCACCUGCAUUUCCAGCAUCACUAGCUCCAGCAGGCACCUAUUUUAAUGGUAACACAUAAGGUAACAAAUUAAGUACAUAUGACACUGAUUACAAAUUAACUACUACUUACCUUAUAAAACUUGGACUUUGGAUGGAUUGGGAAUUUACAAGUCCUAGAAUUAUGUCCUGGCCUAAAACACUUCUUACAGUGCACAACAAGUCCUUUUCUUGUAGAUGUGGUGCCUCUAACUUCAUCAGCUUCUCUUCUUCUCACUUUCUUGGGUCUUCCAGGUUGCUUUCUAAUCUUUGGGGGAUUCACCUUUUCAGCUCCUUUUGAAUCGCAAUAGUCUUCAGAGGGCAUUGCAGCUAUAGUGUAGUUAUAGGUGCUCAAGUAUGCUUCUUUGCUAUAACAAGGAUCAACAUAGUGUUCAGGCUCUGAUUUAUCCCUUUGAAUGGCAGCAAUAGAAUGUGAGCAUGGAAUCCCACUUAGUUGCCAUGAUCCACAUGUGCAUGUUCUACGACUUAUAUCAACAACAUAUACUCUAGUCCCACAAUCCACUUCAUACUCAGCAUCCCGAGAAUAAUGAGCUAUGCAGAACCUACUAUUUAGCUUGUUCCUCUCAAGUCGUUCUUGUAUGUUUGGACAAAGGUUCCCUUCAUACUGUUGCAUGCCUUCCCUUUUCACAUUUAGCCUCUGCAUGAGUUUUCUUCUUAUCCACUCAAACAUGGAGAUGAUUGUGAACUCUCUUGCUGGAAGUAUGUAGGAAUUAAAUGACUCAUUCAAAUUAUUAACAAGAAUAUCACUCUUGCAUGAGGAGCUGAAAUGUGACCUGGACCAUAAAUGUGCAGGAAUCCUGUUUAACCAACCAGCUGCAUUCAUAGCUUCUCCCACCUUUGGAUCAGCCCUUUCCAAUUCAGCCAUUGCUAUCUUGAAGUCACGAAUGUUCCCAGCAGACGCAGCUGCCCAAAAGUACUCCUUCAACUCCUUUCCCUUGAACUUCUGUUUGAAAUUUUGAUAUAUAUGACGAAGGCAGUACCUAUGCUCUGAUUCAGGAAACACAUCAUCAAUUGCACUGACUAAUCCUUUUUGCCUAUCAGAUAUGAAUGUCCAUGGAGCUCCAUUUUCAGCACCAACUUCAAUUUUCAACUCCAUCAAAAACCAUUUCCAUGAGUCAUAUCUCUCGGCUUCCACUACAGCCAUUGCAAUGGGAAACAUGUUAUCAUUGCCAUCCCUACCCAUAGCUGUCAAAAGUUGUCCACCAAAUGGACUUUUUAAAAAGCAGCCAUCUAAUCCAAUUAUUCGUCGACAACCAGCUAGAAACCCAUUCUUCAUUGCACUUAAACUCCAAUACAUUCUUUCAAAUAUCCCAACCUCGUUCUCAUCCAGUCUAGUCACUUGCAGGACAAUAUGGCUACCAGGAUUCCGGAUCAACAAGGUAGCAGCAUAAUCUCUGAUGACAUUAUACUGUCUUAUAUCAUCCCCUUGUAGUGCCUCUCUUGCCAAUCUUUUAGCUCUAUAAGCCUGUCUCAUGCUUAUGUCCACCAUAAUCUCUCUCCUCACAGUCAUGACAAAUCCUUCAAUAGAAGAACUUGGUUCAUCUCUGAACCUGUCUAAAUAUUUUUUGCUCAAAUAUCUUGCAUUUGCAUGAUGAUUGCUGUAUUCUCUUCCACACACAUGCACUCCCUUUAUUGAUUUGAUCUGAAAGGUGCUUUCAUUUUGAAUUGGGCUUGCCCGUAUUUUCCAAGAACAACCCUUUUUGCACAUGGCAAUAACUUUUGCUCUUUCAUUUUUUUUGUACUUCAUGGUGUAGCCUUCCCUGACAUUCCAUUCCACAAGUGCUUCUCUAAAGGCCCGUAAGUUCUUAAAUUUAUCCCCAACUUUCAACUCAAAAUCUGACUUUCUGAAUUCAACUGCAGCAUUAAAAUCUCGACAACUAUUACCUUUCCCAUUUCUUUCAUCAUCUCCUCACAUAGUGUCAAGCAGUUCUUCAUCAUCAAUAGCAAAUUCAUUCCACUCUUCAUUAGUUUUAGAACUCUCCCCUUCUUCAAAUUUGUUCUUAGAAGAGCCUGGUGUUUGCAGAUCCUCCAUUGUAUAUGUCUGGUUCGCUGUUGUUGGUUCUUCAUCUGUGCCUUUUGCCUGCUGCUGAUUUUCUAUUUCAUUAGCCUUUGCUCUGUUUGCAAAAAUAUCCUCAUCUUCUGGUCCUUCUAAUCCCUCUUUCAACCACUCAGGCUCUUCUAAACUAUCAGAUGUAGCAUCACCGUACUCAUCUUCAUUUUCAGGCUGUUUUUCAACUUCAUCUUGCUUUUCUACAGCUUUUUCACCUUUUUCCUUUGCUGAAUUAGACUCUGCUUUGCUGUGCUUUUUGUUUCCAGUUAGCUUGGUCUGUCUUCUCACUGACUUCUUGACUAUCUGUUUCCCCUUUUUGUUUGCUAACUUUUUUGGGGUAUCUUUAUCAGAUGCCACAUUUUGUGCUCCACUAUGUGGGGCAUCAGUGGGGGCACUUUUACCAUGACUUUUUACUCCAACUGAAGCAAUUUCACUAGGCAUUUCAUCACGCAAUUCAGCAUAUAUGUUGAUAACAUCUACUCCUUCAUGUGCAGUUAACAUUAAUUCUAUUUCUUUAUCUCCUUUAAUUUCAGCUGCUCCAACAUACAACCCACAAUUUGGUAUUUCAAAAUAUAGGUUCACAUUCGAGGCAUCACCAUACCUACUAUACAAUUUACACAACAUAUCCCUGGACAAUUUUCUUGUCUCACAAUUUUUAAAUAUGGCUACAUUGUUACCAGUAUAGACAGUUUCUGGUUCCCAUAUGAAUAUACCACCGAAAUGCAAUUUUAUAGUAAUUCUUUUUGAAGUUGUCAUUUUUUUCAAAGCCUGCAUUAGAAAUAGUGAAACACAUGAUAAGAAAAAAAAAACACAAUCUGAUUAAGAAAAGGACAUUUAAUAGAUUACACACUUCAAUGAAAACACAUGAUUACAAAAAAAUACAAUCUGAUUAAGAAAAGGACAUAUUGCAUAUCGCAUACUUCCAUGGACCACAUGACGGCCAAUAAGCCGACAAGCAAAAAUUAUUCAAUGUCCAAAUUGUCAAAACUUUAUCAGCAGCCAAAUCACUCUAUAUUAUUGAAAAUCAAGCCACCCACAUUUGACCCAAAUCUGACACUAAUCAACAAAUCUCAAACUAACAAAGUCGUAUUCUACCCAUGUUUAGUUGAAAUUCCGGUGAUUUUAGAACUCCCGAAUGCAAUUUUCUUUACCCUAAUCUUAAUGCAUAAAUUCAAUUCUAGUCGAUAAAAUACUCUAUGCUUAAAUAUGAUAAUACAGAUUGUCCCAAAGCAGCAAAAUUUUAAAUUAAUCAACGCUUAAGCAAAAUAAUCACUGAUUUAUUAACUUUCCAAUGCCCGCUAGUUUCUGUUCAAAAACCAUGCAAGUGCAUCUUAUAUGCUAAAAUGAUGUCAAAAAACUUACCAGAUGCAAUAACAGCUUUCGUGAUGCUUUUUCACAGCUACUUUUUGGUCUUCAAUGGUAGAUCUUUGUGGGUUAAAUUUCUCUCCUUCAUUCGGUGGUCAUGUUUUUCUCUCCUUUUCUCACGACAAAGACAGAACAAGGAAGAAUCUGACUCAUCUGCUUCCUUUUUGUAUUUAUAUUAGGGUAAUUUGGACAUUUUGCCCACGAAUCGUUACGGUGGGUGCUUUCCGUCUAUUUGCCAGUUCAACCCAAACCACAGGGGGUUUAUGUAUAGCUUUUUGAACGAUGGGGGGGUUAUGUGGUUUUUGCGAAAACCACAUGGGGCUAAAAUGUAAUUUGCCCAAAAAAAAAAAGAGCAGAGGGUGAGGUGGCUGCGGCAGUGGUGGUAUGGGAAGGGAGGGAAGAGGAAGAGCAGCAGUGGUGUGGUGUGGUGCGGGGAGAAAGAAGAAGAAGAGAGGAAAGAAAAGAAAAAGAAAAAAAAGGAAAAAAAAAACCAAGAUUUGGAAUUUUUUCAAACCUUCAAAUGCACAAAAGUUUUCUUACAAAUUUAUAAUAGUAACACUAACACAUAUAAAAUAGCAAUCAUUUUGGAAACAAACCCUUAGAUUUAUUAUAAUAUCACUUAGCUUAUCUAAAAUUUUUAAAAUUUUACUUUCUUCCCCUGCCAACUUGGGAAGAUCAAAUGUUCCUAUCAAAGGUCACAAAUUUACAACAAUUAUGGUUGCACUCUUUAUGACUAUUUAACUGAAAAACCGAAACAAGAAGAGAGUUUUUAAAAGACCAAAAACUAUAGAUGAAAAAGAUAACCAAAUUGCUAUCCAAUAUUGGUCGAUAUUUCUUUGUAUCAAUGUGGUGGUGGAAUAGUAAAAGACAUGGGUAAAUUAAAUUCUAGUUAAAGACAUGGGUAAUUUUUGUAGAAUAGUUAUGAGGAAAUCAAGAAAUUCUUUUAGAAAAUAUGUUCUAAUAUAGGAUAUAAUUUAAGUUAUACUAAAAAUUAAAAUAACCUCUUCAUACAUGUGGUUUGUAAUAUAAAUCCUACUUAUAGAAAAAAAUUAUAUAAAUAAGUCAGAAUUUAAAAAAUUAGUCAAAAAUGUUCUAAUGACCAAAUAUAUAUCUAGGAAUAUUCUUUUUUUUGUUAGAACAUGAUUUGUUAUACAAGGUAAUAGUUAUUGUACAUCUACAAAAUUAUUCAUUAUUGCAUUUAUAGUUGAUCGUAUUUUCAACUUUUUACUUUUCAACUUUAUUUUAUUUUUUAUUGUUGUUGUACGCUUAAUAAGUAGGAUAGCAUAAGAGUAAUAUUAGAACAAAAAUUUUAUCUUUCUUGCAUUUCCUUCAAAGGGGCUAAAAUGUAUGAAAAAUAUGAAUCCAAGAGAGGUAUGUGAGAUUUUAAAAAUUGAAAGAGUUCUAAGUGAUAUUAUGAGAAAUGUCAUGCGAGGUUUCUGAAAUUAUCCCAAAAAAAUCAUCCAAAUGAACCUUCUUGUUGUUGCAAAAUCUUUGCUUCGGAAUCCUAGUGCCAUAUUUCCAUCUUCUUUAACUCUCCAUCUCUCCACCAAAAAAAAAAAAGAAAAAAAAGAAGCAAUUUUGGUAGCGAGCUACUUUGAAUAAGAUCGUGAAAUAAUUGCAUGUAGAAAUUUGACAAGAAGUGAAAGCAAUCAAAUUUACAAUAUGCCAACAUAUAUUUUUAUAUGAACACGUAUUCUAGUAUUCCAUGAGCCAUUUUGUCUUGCCUUUCGUUCUGCUAGGAAAUGGCCAAAUCCUCCUAAUAUUUACUUCCCAAAAAAAUCCGCCAAAUAUGGCUUUGUCGGCCAUGUCGCACGACGGGGAGGUCCAGAAUAUAUUUUUUAAAAAAAAUGGCAGAGGGUCGUCGCGCCCUGGCUUUUUUUACCACACUGUCGCGCCAACGUGAUGAAACGAACCUGGCAGCUAUGCGACGAGCCUUUUUUUUUUUUCAAAUGUUUUGUAAAAAAUGUGUAGGUUCCGUUAAGUUUUUUUUUUUUUUUUUUUUUUUUGAUAAGGUGGCUUUGGUUUCUUAAGUUUUAGCAUGUUUAGGAUUUACAAUUUAUUAUUUAGGGUUUAGGAGUUGUUAAGUUUGUCGAUAAAAGGGUUUGGAUAUGGCCAUUGUAGUUAAUAAAGGAUUUAUUAAAUGAAAUGUAAUUGUAUUGAAGAAAAAAAUGAGUACAUGAAUCGCAGUUUUUGUAUUUUAGAAUUUAUAUAAAAUGCAAUAGUAUAAAAAAAUUAAUAAUAUAUUGAAAAAUUAAUAGUUAUUUAUAGAAUGCACACAUAAUGAAAGUACUUUUAUAGGUCGUUAUUUGGUAUACAAUGGUACUUGAUACUUAUAUUAAAUGAUUAAACCAGUUAAAGUGGUCAUAAAUUGACUUGUACCUCUACGUUUAAUAAAUUAAUGGAUCCUUUUAUCCAAUUAUAGAAUUUCAUCAAAUAAUUUGUACUUUUGUAUUUUGAAAAUAUGUAACGUUAUUAAACUUUAAAAUAAUUAAACAGGAAAAGUAGGACAAUUAAUUAAAUGUCAAGAUAGUAUGCAGUAUAUUGAAUGGAUGGGAUUUAAAUCUAAGUAGAAGACCGGACAAUAUCAACACUUCGGGGUUUCUUGUCUUUAUCCCUGUCUUUGGGCCUUCUUACAAGGUGUGGUGGGGGAAUAACAAUGCCUAGUAGGGGCGACGGUCCUUUGCCUUCUUUAAAAGAGAAGAAAAAUCUGGAUCGCCUGACGCUUCUAUAUGGCACAACGGGCAUGCUUUAAUACACAACUUACACAUAGUUAUAUUUGGCGGAUUUUUUUGGGAAGUAACAAAUAAUAUUCUGAGGAUUUGCCUUGGGGUAAAAGUUGCUUGUAAUUGUUAGUCUAGCUACUUGACUUCAAUAUUGAAGAUUGUCCGGCACAUAAAAUCCCAAGUCGUAGUCUCCAAGAUAUAUGUAUGAAGUGACGACGAGGUUGUUGAUAAAUCCAUUUAUGACAGCACCAUGUGCAACUCAUGAUAAUUAAAUGUAAUUUUAUUUAAAAAAUACAGAUGAAUUUUAUUAUGUUGCAGGCUAUCUUAUCGACAAAAAAAAAAAAAAAUCUCCAUUUGGCCAAAAAUCAUAAACCCAUGGGCCAAAAAAUUGGUAAACAAGUUGAGUACUACGCUUUGCAUCUUUCUCUGUAAUCAUUUUCACGAGUUUGUCGUGUAGCGUGAUAUUAUUGCGAAAGAAAGUGUUCUCUAUUAUGACAGGACCAUGUGCAACUCCUGUCAGACUCAGGAGCUUCCACCUUUCCGACUGGAUGUGUCGGCCGAAGGAAAUCACACGUCAAAUUUCAUUUGAUUUGUGGAUGGAAGGCUAUGGAAGCUGUAGGCCCCGAAGCAAAAUUAAUUGGUCCACAAGAAUUGCCAAAUUAGUUUUCUUUUUCCAAAUUCAGUUAUGCGAGUAAAUGAAAGCUUUUACAACCAUUAGUUCUUUUAAAAUGUUUUAAAGCGUAACUGCAUGCACACAUUCUAUAUUCUUUUGUCUCUUUUUCAGUUUUUAUACUCCAUCUAGGAUGUCUAAUCAUUAUUUCGUAAAAAAGGAAAAAAAAACUAUGUAUAUUUUUUCUUUAUAAUUAGUCAAUUACAAAUUGGUAAAGUUCUAAUCAAUUUCAUCCAUUAUCUAACUUGCAAGAAAGGAAAAGAUAUCUCCUAAAUACAAAGUUCAAAAGGAGUUUCUAGCCUUUUAUAAUCACGUUCACAUGAUGUUUCGGUGGAUAUCCAUUUACCCAUUUUCCGUUAAAGAAAUUUACUUAUUACAAUCUUUUUCUUUACACUCCUCUAAAAUAGUAUGGAAUAUUAUCAUAAUUCUUCACAUGUCAUUAUUAAACCGAGGGUUAAGGUUUGUUGGAAAGUAAUCAAUAAAUAGUAUAUGAGUUAAUUAUUCUUAAUAACUUUCAAAGUAUGUUUUAUGUUUAGUGUCUUACAUUCAUUAAAUUUAUUGUUUUGGUUCAUUUAUAUCCAUGUUUUUUUGGAAAAUUAAAGUUUGAAGCUAAAAAGAAGUUAAUGCAAAUGCACGGCUGAAUAACUAGUGGUCUAAUUCUAUUGCUUGCUUAUCCACAAGAACGACCACGCCAACACUACUACAUUAAUACACUCAUACUUUUGCAUUUCUUAAUUACUUGCAUUACUUAUUCUUUCUUCCCAACAAUUCUACAGCCCAUAAUCAUCAUUCCAAUUUUAAUUCAGUAAUCUUCAUACAGCUCUGAACAUAUAACUAUAUUUAAUAUAAAUUCGUGUCAUUCCUGCAUUUCAAUUCUCAAAAUCUUAUUGCAUGCCUUACUUUAUAAUGGUGUUUAAUUACUUAAGUUCAUAAACAAUCAUUAGUAUCAAAAUCAUAAACUUGUAUCGCACAAUAGGAUGCUCUUCGCAUCAUUAUCAGAAGUUUAGCAAUUAAUCUUCGUCAUGUCACAAGUAAUUUCAAUUUCGCAGCUAGGGGUGAAAUUGCAAAGCAUUUGGUUAAUCGGAUGUUCGAACAAAUUUAAUUAAUUAAAUUUAAUAUGAAUUCAGUUCGGUCAAAUAGAUUUUGAUAUGGCCUUGGUAAAAACAAAAUUAUGAGAGUGCUUAAUUAGUUUGAAAGUAACUCGGAAUUCUAGAUUUUUUAUUUUAAUUGAUAUAGCACGCGUACACAUACUAUGUUACACAUGUUCACUCCACGUUGUUGUGGAUAUUGAAUAUUCUUAAUUACUAUUAUCUUUUAUUCUUUUUUUUUUCCAUCAUCUCUUCACUUUCCUUCUUUCUUUUUCUUGAUCACUUGCAUUUUGUGGAAUUAUUUUUCAUAUUUCCAAUAGUUUGCUUUACUUGCUUUUCCAUAUUUGUAAUUAUUUUCGUUAAUAUUGUGACAGCCCCACCUUCCCCUAAGGCGAACCAAAGGGUUUAGCGGACUGCCAGCCCAACUCUCGCUGGGACUCAGUCAGUCAUUUCAAGAAAAGACGAUAAAAUCCACAAAACAAUUGAAAUAACAAUAAUUCCAAACUUAAACGUAAACUUAUAUAUAUUUCUAUCUCAAAAGCAACACAACUCAAGUACAAAGGUUCUCCUUUCUCCAUACAACCAGCCCGCCAACCGCUAGGACAAGAACCAUUACAAAAGAAAUAUCAAAACUAGACCAAACUAGUCUAUACGGAGCUCUCGUCCUUGCGCGCCUUCCCCUGUUAAGGAAAACAACUAAAGGGAUAAGCUAAAAGCUCAGUGAGGUUCUGAACACAUAAACAAACAAUAAACUCAAAGCAUAGAACACCAAUAAUUCAAGUAACAUUUACAAUAUAAAGCGGUAACAUAUUCAUUAAAGGAUACGUGCUCACAAGGAGCCAUUCAUUCAUUCGUUCAUUCAUUCAUUCUCCUUUCAUUCCUUUAUUCCUCCAAUCAUUUGAAAAUGCAUCUUUGUAAGUAAAAACCCUCGUUCAUUCAUUCGUUCAUUCAUUUCAUUCACUCCCUUCCCGGACAUUGACCAGGCUCCACCAAACUUCAAGGUAAUACUCGAGUAUACCAAACGUUCACCCAAGUCACCAAAUCGCCAGACCGAGUUCGCUUCUGGCUCGAGUCGAUCGGUAACAAGGGGCAAGGCCCAGUUCAGCCAGAAGGCUUACAUUCAUGCACAAGUAACACUUCAAUCGUUCCAUCAUUGAAAACUUCACAAUCAUUUAGGCCGAGUGCGAUGAAGUACACACUCGCCUAAAAACUUGUUUUAGCAAUCAUUGAAAGCAUUUAACAUGUUAUCAAUUAUUCAGACAAGCCAUAUAAUCAAGAAAUAUAACAAACAAGGAACACUCACCUAGUUAUGCAAAAUAACGUCCAAAAUAUCCUACCGGGUAUUACCCUCAGUUACCAAUGAAACUUAAAAUUAAACAAGAGAAACUAUUACAGUUUAUCUAGCAAAACAAUUAAGGGAAAUUGAAGGAACCUGACUAAUUACGAAUACAACAUAUAAAGAUGACUUUCAAGUGAAAAGAGAGCAUUUGGAUUCCGUGGACGGGAAUAAUUAGGGUUUCAUAAACCAAACGAGAAACUAAACUCAAAAGAGUUAUAAAAGUUCCAACGGAAAACACUUGGACCAAAUACAAGUCGGAAUCCAACUAGAUAGGCUAAGAAAUAUUGUUUUCAGAAUCGCUUAUGUGGUUCAAAAUCAACUCAUAUUUGAGUAGAUAUUAGUUUUCAAAUAUCUCAAUGAAAAUCAUGUAAAAAGGAAGACACUAAAAGCCUUACUUUGAAAGUAGUUUCCCGUAACCAAGAAAACCCCAAUUCAUACCUCUUUAUUUUGGUAAACAGUAAGUAAACGUUGGAAGUGUCAAACUGGAGAGGUAUUAUAUUUUAGAAUGGUAAAAUGGUCAUGAUAUUCAUUAAGCAGAAAUAUAGGAGUUCAAAUAGAAAAUAGCUUCUCGAACACCCUUCGAGAGCACAAAUGUAGUUUUCAAAGAAGUACAUUCAAUUUGACACAAAAAUUACAUUUUCACAUUCACUGGAACUUACUCACAAUUCACGAAAGUAAACGGACGGCAUUUCCCCUUAAAUUCUUUAUUUCACCUUACAAUCAAAAUACCCAACCUUACAAGAAUUAACCACAAUCACAAAUUCGGUUUAUAAACAAUAAAACACAUCCAAUUGGGUCACAAUAUCCCUCAAUUAAAGCCAAUUAGAAGUUCAAAAGCCAACUAUUAGAAAACCCCCAAUUUAAACCCUAGAAACCGGAAUUUAUCCCAACAAGCGUAAAUUUUCCGCAAACGAUUGUAAUUAACGAAUAAAGUUGCAAUUAACACCAUUUAGAGCUAUCAAAUCAAAGCCAAUCCAUGACUAUUAUAUAAAAUCGGAAAAAUCCCCAAUAAAUCAGAAAAUGGCCCAACUUGACCUAAAACCAUGAAAUCAUCCACAAUAUAACAAUCUUAACCACUAGAAACGACCAUGAUAUCAUUAUUAAGAUCAAGGAGAAAGUUCCUUAGCAUCUCACCUUAAUCCCAAGAAAGAUAGCACCUUAAAGCUUUUCCCUUCAAAAUCACUCCACCAAGAGUUUUAAUCCCUCUUAACUAACACUUGUACGGAGUAGAAUAAAAAUCUAUCGGUGAAAUCUCAAGAUUGAAGCAAAAAUUGAAAUUAGAAAAUGAAACCUUUUCUUGGUUUUUCCUCUCAAGAGCCAUGGUUGAGCAAGGAGCAAAAUGAAGAUAUUUUGGACCAAAACAAGAUAAGAAGGAAGAAAAAUCGCUGGUCAAAGCUGCUGUCCCAUCACAAUCCGGCCAGAUUCCUGGGCGGAUUCAGGGCAAUAGCGAAACUCAAUUUUUUCAAAAAUCUCAAACAAUCCGGCCAAUAUCUGGCCGGAUUUGGUACUAAGCAGUUUCGACAAAAUUUUUCGUUUCCAAAAUCACACGCCGCGUUCAUCCGUACUCCCAGAAAGUAUAUAUAUCCAUAAUCUUAUACAAAUACACUUAAUACACACCAUCACAUGUUCAUGUAUAAGAAAUGAAAACCCUCCUUAACAAUGGAUAGCCAAUUCUCUUCAUUUUCUUCAAGGAAAGUGAAAUUAAACAAAAUACCAAGAAAAUGUGAAAAUUUUGGGUUCUCACAAAUAUCAAUUUCAUCAUAUUUAUGACUAACAAUCUAACAGGGAUUUAUGCCUUUACAAAUUGUUAAUUAUUUGGUUAAAAAACCUUUCAAAAGAUUUGUUUUAUUGUAUGGCAAUUUUUGGGGACCAAUUAAUUUUGCUUCAAGCCCCACAUUUUCCUUGCUAAGUGUGUUGUGAGGUUACACGUGGCCUUGUUGGGAUUGUGCCUUUUUUUGCAGAAAAAUUUUUAUAUUUUUUUACAAUUAUCAUUUUAUCUCAGAAACAUCAAAUCGUUACAGUAUAUUUUUUUACAAAAACUCCUAAAAAUAGCAAUACAAAUGGAGCUCUUGCAGCCACAAAUCAAAUGAAUUUUGACGUCAUUUUUAGUGUGACUUCCUUCUUCUGACACGUAUCCACUUUGUAUGGUUGGAACAUCCCGCUAUAGAAGAUCCGGUCGGUCGUGGCCAAUAAUGGGAUAGCAUAGCUUUUUGCCCAAUCACUUAAGCACGGCAAGAAGUAUUUUUUUUUUUAAUUUUACUUUUAAAUAGCGGCAAUAAGUUAUUAACAAAAGAUAAUAUGCUAGUUCUAAUACUAUGACGCUAUUCCCGUUUCCUCUAGAGGAUUUUUCAGCCAACAAACUCCUCCAACUGCCUUCCUCAAGUCUUUCUAGGGUUCUUUCUAUUUGUUUCUGUAAUACACUUUCUGACAAAUUUUCAAUCCUAGUAUUUUCUCAGUGGAAAUAUCUUUUUUUCUUAGUGAGAAUUUUUGUUUUUUGUUUUUUAGUUUUUAUUAGAUUUAAGUUUAUUCAAGUCUAAACUUUCUCGUAGGGCUUGAAAAUCUGUCUGGGAAGGCUUACAAUUCAUUUGCAACUACAAACAUUUAUAUGCAUUUAAUUAUAAGAAAAUUUGGAGCUUUCUAGUUUUUUUUUUUUUUUGUUAUUGGUUUCUCUGAUUUGAAGGAAGUCACUUCUAUUUGCAUUUCCAUUGCGUCUUUUUCAUGUAUUUUCUCCUAUUUGUACAGCUUUUAUGUGAAUAAAUAAAAUUCUCUUCUUCGUUAAAAUAAAUGAAAGAAAAUAUGAAGGAGAAAUUAAUUGAUCUAAUUGACAAUAUGUCUUUAUCAAUAGAUGCCUCCUCAGAUAUUCUCAAAAACUUCCAUACUCUAACUAUCAUUAUUUUUACACAAUAGUAUUUCUUUAACAAUUACUAGCAUUUCUAUUUUGUAAUUUGAACUACUUUCUUUCCAUCUUUGGUACACUUAUAGUUGCAAUUAUCUUAUGUUAAAUUCAAUAACUUUCAACUACAUGUUAUGGUGAGAGAUAUUUGUUUGACAUGAUAUAAACCUAAGAAGAAAAGAAUUCAAUUUGAAAACACACGUAAGACAAUAUAUAUAGGUCCAUGUACAUAAACCAAAGACCAAAAUUAUAUCAUCUCAGUAAGCACAUUUAAUAAUAUUCCCUGGAGUAUUAAAAUUAAGCAUAAGUUAAACAUUUUAUCUGGAAAUGUCUCCUAAUAAUCUUAUAUGUGAAUGAAAUAAUUAGGCAGAGAAUUGGGAAACGGAAAGACUUGAGCAUAUGCUCUUUUUCUGUGAAAUUGCACAACAAAUAUGGUAAGUAGCACCAACCCAGUGGGAUGGCCUAGGAAAUAGAAGCAACCUCUGCCAUUGAUGAGGGGAGUUGAUGGAAGAAAACGCAUUGCUUUGAACUGUAAACCUGCGCAGAUUUGCAAAGAAAGGAGGUUGUUCAAGUGUUAAUUUAGUGGCCAUGACACCACCUGGACGGUCGGACCAUUCAGUACUGACAGAGCCAUGUUAAGUCAAGGGCGGAGCCAUGUUAGAGAUCAAUAAUCAGAGGCUUACAAAAUUUCGUAAUUUUUCAAUUUAGCUCACAUUUGCACUGACAAAUUUUGUAAAAAUUUUAUUUUGCUCUUGCAUUGCCCCUUAGAGCAUCUACAAUGGUUUACACCCUUUAGGGUGUAAUCCACAUGCCACAUCAGCAUUUCACUAUCUCCUCUUUUUAUUACACUCUUAUCCACAAUGGAUUACACUCACAGAAUAUAAUAGCAUGGAUCCACAUGCCGCAUCAGCAUUCCACUAUCUCCUCUUUUAUUAUACUCUCUCCCCUCUUUUAUUUUAACAAUGCAUAACUCAUAACCCAUAAAUAAAUAAAUUUAUUAUUUUAAAAAUGGUUAUUUUUAAAAAUAAAUUAUUGACGUGACACCUCAAAAUGUGAAAAUAUCAUAAUAAUCCAUUAUUCAUUAAUAAUACCCUAUCUACUGAAUUUAACUGCACGACAUAAUAUUAAAAUUAAAUAAAAUACCAAUAAUAAUAUAACGAAUACUAAUUUUUAUUAUUAUUGCCUCCAAAUCGUUCCCAAAAAUGCUCGAACAAAUCCAACAGAAGUUGAUGAUGUACUUUCCGAUCACGUAGUUUCGCAUUCCUCUGAAGAUAAUGGUGAAAAUUUUCGACUUGAGUCACAGGGAUCGUUGGUUCUUCAUCAUCAUUAUCCCAGUUUUUUAUUGCAUCUCCCUCAUCCUCGACAAUCAUAUUAUGCAAUAUGAUGCAUGUGUAUACUAUAUCUUUCAAUUUAGCUUUAUGCCAAAAUCGAGCUGGGCCACGUACAAUUGUCCAACGAGAUUGGAGCACUCCAAAAUCUCGCUCGACGUCUUUUUUUUGCAGCCUCCUGUAUUUGCUUAAAUUUGAUCCUCUUUGGAUCUUUAGGAGAUGUAAAACUUUUAACAAAUGUUGUCCAUUCUGGAUAUAUGCCAUCUGCUAGACAAUAUCCUUUGUUGUACUGUGUGCCGUUUACCAUAAAUUGAAUAUCAGGAGCAUAUCCGUGUAACACGUCGUUAAAUAGUGGAGAUUGAUUGAGUACAUUAAUGUCAUUGUUAGAUCCCGCGAUGCCAAAAAAUGCAUGCCAUAACCACAAAUUUGCUGAUGCAAUUGCUUCUAGCAUUAUUGUGGGAGAUCCUUGAUCACCUCGAGUAAAUUGACCUUUCCAUGCCACGGGACAAUUCUUCCAUUGCCAAUGCAUGCAGUCAAUGCUACCAAGCAUUUUGGGGAAACCAUGGCGCUCAGAAUGCAAUUGAAGUAAACGUUCAACAUCAUUAGUAUUAGGCCUUCUCAAGUAUUGUGCUCCAAAAAUAUCGAUCACGCACCAACAAAAUUGUGACAAACAUUCGAUUGCAGUGCAUUCACACAUCCUUAUGUACUCGUCCAAUUGGUCAGCAGGUGCUCCAUAUGCUAAUUGUCGGAUAGCUGCUGUGGUUUUUUGAAGUGGAGAAAGUCCUCUUUUGCCAGCUGCAUUGACCCUCAUUUGAAAAAACUCUGAAUGAUUUGUCAUCGACUCCACAAUUCGAAGGAAUAAUUCCCUUCUCAUUCAAAAUCGUCAGCGGAAUAUAUGUGAAGGAUACACUGGCUCGUUGGUGAAAUAGUCAUUAACAAGUCGAACAUGUCUAACACCACGCUCUCAAUUGUAAUAUCUUCGACUGUGUGGACGGAUGUUACGACUUGAAGAUGUAUGUUGCGUUUGCCAUUGCUCCAACAUCUUCAUAAUUUGAUCAUCAAUGUCAUCCAUCAUUUCAUCGGCUAAAAACUUUUAAAUUUCUUCUAUAAGAGAGAUAUCAGGAUAUUAAUACAUUUUUUGAGUCUGUUGAGUAUUUGGUGGCAAUGUAUUGCGUCUUGCCAAUACAAAUAUAGUGCUAGUGUUAUAACGGCUAGUUUUCCAACGGCUCAUUUUUCUAACGGCUAAUUUUCCAACGGCUAGUCUUCUGACUUAUUAUAAUGAAUAUAUAUAAUAUAUAUUUAUAUAAUUAAUAUUAUAUUUAUAUUAUAUAAUAUAUUUAUAAUUGUUAUAUACAUAUACAUAAUAUAUUAUAUAAAUAUAUAUUACAAUUAUUUAAUUAAGUAUAAUUAUAUUUAUCUAAUAUAAAUUAUAAGUUUAUGAAUAUUAUAUUAAUUUAAAAUGAUGAAAUUUAAAACUUCGUUAGCUUGGUUUCAAAUCCAUGGCCGGAUUUCAUAGUUUGGUUUCGAAUCCAUGACUGGAUUUCAUAACCUCGUUCCAAAUCCAUGGCUGGAUUUUAUAUGUUGGUUUCGAAUCCAUAGCUGGAUUUCAUAACCUGGUUUCGAAUCCAUGGCAGGAUUUCAUAAAUUGGUUUCAAAUCCAUGGCCAGAUUUUAUAGCUUGGUUUCGAAUCCAUGGUCGGAUUUCAUAGCUUGUGUCUAGUUACGCCAUAAAUGUACUACAUAAGUGAUUAAUAUGAUACAACAUGGUUUUUUCUGCAUCUUAUUGCACCGUAUAGUAAAAUAAAAUUAAAAAUAGACUAAGAAAUAUUAUAUUUGGCUUUUAGGAUGAAGCACAUUUGCUCAUGAAUUCGAAGCUGUUAAUCGGUCAUACCCGUGGUAUCCUUGAGUAAUAUUUCAUAAUCACUUUGAAAAUUAUAACUUUAUAACUUAUUUGCCAAGUUUUCCAUAGCCUGCAAUUUUUCUUCUUUUUGCUGCAUCAACACUUUUCGGAUUUGAUCAAAUUCCUCACUCACAUUUGAUUUUGCCUUUUUCUUUCCCUUCUUUGAUGCUUUUUGACCAGGUGGGUGAACUUCACGUGCUUCAUUAUCAUUGAUGUCAAAAUUUGAAUUCGUAUUGGAUGAAUAAGUGUAUGCCCCGCUUUCAUCGGUUAUUAUCUUUUUUGAAGAACGUUGCAUAGGAGUAUUUACUUUCCACUUCGGAUCAUUUUUCAACAACACCCACACAUGUUCAUGUAAAAAAUGCUUGUUAUUAUUCUGAUGAAAUAGCUCACGUGCGUGUUGCUUGAUCUAGUCAUCAUUCCACCUGCUAUGAUGUUUGCCGACCAAUCUGUUGUAAUAUUGGUUGAACUCAUUAACCAUCCGACUCAACCAAUGCCAAUGUGAUUUCACUGCUUUAUAUUUUCGUGGUGGUCCAGAUUUUCGAUUCUCAUUGAAGUAGUCGACGACUCAUUUCUAAAAACUUUUUUCAUUUUGAGAGUUACCCACAACGCUGCAAUUUGAAAUUGUGAGCCAAGCACUUGCAAGAAUCUUGUCAUCAUCCACACUCCAUGGAACACAUUUACGGUCAGGUUCUUCCACCGCCUCAUUUGUGAGAUUUAUAUUUUCUACCUCACGUUGUGUUGAAUACGGUGGAAAUUGAGAAUCCUAAAUUGACUCUGUUGGUGUUGCAUUAUCUUGUUGACUGGCGAAAUCAAAAUCCUUCCUUAUCUCCGACGGAGUCGUUGAGCCUUCACAACCCAUACCAAGGUUAUAAUACCUCGGUGUAUAGUGAUUUCCCAUAGAAUGAUUAAAAUAAUUAGGUGACGGAUACAUGGGAAUUUGAUAUGGAAAAUGUGGUGGAUUUUGGAAAUUUGAUGAAUGAUUGGAAUUGGGUAAAUUUGGGUAAUUUGGAAUUGGAAAUGGAUAAUUUGGCAAAUUUGGAUAAUUUUGGUGGUUUUGAUUUUGUGAAGCGGAUGAAUUUUCUAUAUUUGGACUAUUUAACAUAUUUCUAAAACUACUAAGAUUCUCAUCUAUAAUGAUAAAAUACUGAAAUUUAUAAAAUUAUGUAAAGAGAUUGAAAAUAAUGAAUAAGGGAGUAGGAGAGAUAAUGGAGUAGAAGAUUGUGAGGUGAAAUAAAAAAAUUAAUUUGUGUAUUUAUAGGAAGUAAAAUAAAUUAUCCGUUGCUAAAAUAUAGCUGUUGUAAAAAAAGGCCAUUGUCAAAUGAUUGGUUCCAAAAAUGACCAUUGUAAAAUGUUUCAAAAAAUGACCAAGUAAAAUGCUGUCUCAUUUUGGCUAUUUGGAUGUUUGCUAGUAUUGUAAUGCCGUUUGGAUCCCAUAACAUCUUCAAUGACACGCAUCAUCAAUAUUGUACGUGUCAUCUAAUCAGUAUUGUGCGUGUAAUCUCCAUGACACGGUCAUAACAUCUUCCAUGACACGUAUCAUCAAUAUUGUACGUGUCAUCUAAUCAGUAUUGUGCGUGUAAUCUCCAUGACACGGUUGGUCUUCCAACCGUGUCAUGGAGCGGUGUAAUGGGGGGAUUAUACCCCCAUUAUACAUUGCUGUGGAUGCUCUUAAAACAGCUAACGUAUUUGAAAAGUAGAAUGGACCAGCUAAAUAACCAAGAUGCCGCCGAUUACAAUAAUUUGCAUGGUGAGUUCUUGGUAGUAGUUAUUUAGUGACUUCCAAGCCUUUGCUCAUUAUAAAUACCGGCCCCCUCCACAUUCCAAACAUACUCAACCACCUUCCUUGUGCUACAUUCUGCUAUCUUCUGCCACCACCACCACCCCCACUACUCCCAGAAAAUGGAAAGCUUUUCUCCCACCUGGGCUGUAUAUGCACUCGCCUGGGUUGCAACGGUGGUUAUCGCCCAUCUCUCGAAGCAUUUCCAUCAGCAAAAACUCAACCUCCCACCGGGUCCAAGGCAAUGGCCUAUAAUUGGAAACUUAAACCUCAUUGGCACCCUUCCUCAUCGUUCACUCCAUCAACUCUCCCUAACAUAUGGUCCCCUAAUGCACCUUCAAUUCGGCACCUUCCCAGUUGUCGUUGGCUCCUCCGUGGAGAUGGCCAAAGUUUUCCUCAAAACCAUGGACGUCACAUUUGCAGGGAGGCCUAAAACUGCAUCCGGAAAAUAUAACUCUUAUGAUUGCACCGACAUGACUUGGUCCGCUUACGGACCAUAUUGGCGCCAGGCACGUAAGAUUUUCCUUACGGAAUUAUUCAGUGCAAAAAGACUCGAAUCAUAUGAACAUAUUCGGGUGGAAGAAAUGAAUUCGCUUCUGCUACAGCUAUUCAAGUCAUCAGGCAAGCCUGUCGUGUUGAAAGAUUAUCUUUCAACAGGAAGUUUGAACGUGAUUAGCAGGAUGGUCCUGGGGAAAACAUACAUUGAUGAGUCUGAGAACUCAAUUGUCACGCCCGACGAGUUCAGGCAAAUGAUGGACGAGCUUUUUUUGCUGACUGGUGUGUUUAACAUUGGUGACUUCAUACCUUGGAUCGAUUUCUUGGAUUUGCAGGGGUAUAUCAAGAGGAUGAAAAUCUUGAGCAAGAAAUUUGAUAGGUUUCUGGAGCAUGUUCUCGAUGAGCAUAAUGCCCAAAGGAAGGACGACACUAAUUGCGUCAGCAAGGACUUGGUGGACGUCCUUCUGGGCCUUGCAGAUGAUCCCACUUUGGAGGUGAAGUUAGAGAGGCGUGGAGUCAAGGCAUUGACUCUGGUAUAUGUUACUUACAAACUGCACAACGCAUGCUGUCAACUUUUAAACGACUGAAAACUUGAGAGAAAAUAGUCAGUGAUCUUUUGAACUUGAAUACUCCUCAAAAUUUUCUUUGCUACUGAAAACUUGAGAGAAAGUAGUCAGGAUCUUUGUAGUUUGAUGAAAAUUUUUCAGUGGAGGCAGAAUUAACAAGAAAAUUCUUUUUAAUCCUUCUAAAAGAAAUUGCUUUUGAUAAAGGUACUCAAGUAAGUAAGAAAAUUGUUGGCCAAGUACAGUCAAUUUGCAACUUAAAAACGUUUCUUGCUGCACUUUGCGUAAUGAUUGAACUCUAGGACCUACUUGCUGGUGGAACCGAGACCUCAGCGACUACAGUAGAAUGGGCCAUUUCGGAGCUACUGAAAAACCCAGAAAUAUUCAACAAGGCAGCCGAAGAACUCGACCGUGUUAUCGGUCAGAAUCGAUGGGUGAACGAGAAGGACAUGCCAAAUCUUCCUUACAUAGAGGCUGUUGUUAAAGAAACAAUGCGUAUGCAUCCCGUGGUCCCAUUGCUAGUGCCAAGAUGUGCUCGCGAAGAUUGCAAAGUUGCAGGGUACGAUAUUCAAAAGGGAACUCGAGUCAUCGUCAACGUUUGGUCAAUUGUGAGGGACCCUGAAUUGUGGGAGAAGCCAGAGGUAUUUUGCCCCGACAGAUUCAUGGGAAAGGACAUUGACUUCAAAGGGCAAGACUGUAAGUUCUUGCCAUUUGGUGCUGGAAGAAGAAUGUGCCCAGGGUAUAGUUUAGGCCUCAAGGUUAUCCAAUCUAGUUUGGCCAAUCUUUUACAUGGAUACAGAUGGAAGUUGCCAAAUGACAUGAAACCUGAGGACCUGGACAUGGAAGAAAGAUUCGGCAUUACUACACCAAGAAAAAUCCCACUUGUUGCCAUUGUUGAGCCUCGGCUUCCUCGUAAUCUUUAUUGACUAUGAUUCACUACGUGUAUGUUUGAUCUCCCAGUAUCAUCAUUAUCAACUUGUGUUCAAAUAAAUCAGCUCUGCAAGUUUAGAAUUUGUAGCUGCGCUUAUAUGUGUUUGCCAAUUGCUACAACGCUACAAACCCUUGUAGUUGGUGCAUGGCAUAUGCGUAAUCACUGAGAUUGUUAUGCGUAUUGAAUUCCAAAUUUGUUCACAAUUAUGUGAAACUGUGAAUAUGCACACCCCUGAUGUUUCAAAUACAUUCUAUAAAAUUCUGAUGCUAAUUUAAAUCUGCAAUAGCAGGCACACAGUCAAAGCAAUGUGCUCUCUGCCAUCUUUCCUCUUAGCAUCUUCCAUCAAUUCCUGUGCACCUCUAAGCCAUGCCACUGGAUUGGUGCUACUUUCCGUACUUGUUGGGGGGAAGAGAGAAAGAGAAAAAAAAAAGAGCGGAGGGUGAGGUGGCUGCGGCAGUGAUGGCAUGGGAAGGGAGGGAAGAGGAAGAGCAGUAGUGGUGUGGUGCGGAGAGACAGAAGAAGAAGAGAGGAGAGAAAAGAAAAAAGAAAAAAAAGGGAAAAAAAGCAAGAUUUGGAAUUUUUUCAAACCGUCAAAUGCACAAAAGUUUUCUUAAAGUUUUAUAGUAAAGUGUUAUUCUUGGUUUUGAUGAUCACAAAAGUUUGUUUAUACAGACCAAGAAAGUGAACACUUUGAUCAGGUCUGUUGGAACAAAGAAAGCGUAUGUUCGUUUAUCUCCUGACUACGUUGCUUUGGAUUUGGAUGUGGCAAACAAGAUUGGAAUAAUAUGAAUGAAUUUAGUCAUUGUUUUGUUUUCGAUCAAAGAUAUUGUCUUUUAAGUAUGUCUAGUUUGUCAUUCUUGGUACUUUGAAAUAUUUGUCUAACCUUCCUCAAAUACAAGUGUUUUUUUGUCUAUCCAAGAAUCAGGUUCAAAUAUGUCAUGAAAUGUAAAACAACCAAAAUGAGAAGCAAAAACAGGACAAUCAGGUCGGACGGCCGAAAGGAAACUGUCGGACGUCCGAAAAGAUAAAGAACAUCAGGAAGGAAGCACCGUCGGACGCUCACAUGGAAGCAUCGGACGUCCGGAAGGAUCGGACGCUUGCCAUCGGACGUUAAUCAACCGCAUCGGACGUCCGAAAAAUUCCAAGAUAACUUGCUAGCUCUCGGCCCAAGGUCGGACGCUGUGCUGUCGGACGACAAAGAACUUAUCGGACGUCCGAACCUCAACUUGGCUAUCAUCGGACGAUUGGUUCGGACGAUGAUUCGAUCGUCGGACGUCCGACAGCCCCAACGGCUAGUUGACUCUUCAGCUGCCUUCUAUCCGUUGGAAGCAUUGAUGAAGCCCAUUUCUGGAUCCCUUUAAAAUCAAACUGGUCUGAACGAAGUAGGGACUUUUGCUCACUUUGUUUACAAGUUCUCAAGAGAUAUUUUAGCUAGAAAAUAGUCUCCAAAGCAGAUUUGUAUUAAAGUGGUGUGAAUUUCUGUUGAGCAUUUCUUUUGUGGUUGAAAGGAUCUUUAGUGUAGCUUUGUUGAGGGUUUUCUGAGUGAUUGUAAAACUUCCUAGCUUGACUAAGUGAGGCUUAGGGCAAGGAGGAAGAGCUCCCUCCAUUGUACAUCUAGUUGAUCUUCGUUCAUCAAAGAGAAGUUGCUCUUCCUAGUGUUUGGUCUUCAAGUUUGGGUAAAGCUUGGUAGACACUUGGUUUGUUUCUCUAUUUUAUAUUUCUGUUUAAUAAAAUCUUCAUUGCUUAUCUAUACUUGCUUCUCUGAUUAAUAUUGCUAUUGUCUUCUAAUCUACUUGGUUGAUCAUUACUAAAAAGGAAGGUAAAUUUUCAUUAAAGAAAAAGUGCAUAAACUUGGUUAAGUUUUUAAUCAACCAAUUCACCCCCCCCUCUUGGUUGUCUGUGGGACUUACAAUUGGUAUCAGAGCUUGGUCUCUUUUGAUCAAGCUUAACCGCUUAGAGUAAAGAUCAUGGCAACCAUAAAAGUUUCUUUUUUAGAAGGGCAAUCUAUUGAUAGACCACCUAUGUUUAAUGGUUCUCAUUUUAGCAUGUGGAAACAAAGAAUGAUGAUUUUCUUACAAUCUGUUUACAUUGAAUUAUGGUAUGUGGUAGAAGAUGGUCCUUAUGAAGCUAGAAUAGUUGACUCUAUCACCAAUUUGAGUAGAUUAAAGACUAGACAAGAAUUGAAUGAAAAAGACAAGAGAUACCUUUCUUUGAAUGCCAAGGCCAUGUGUAUAUUGUACAAUGCAUUAGAUGUAAAUGAAUCUACUAGGAUUAAAGGUUGUAAAUCAGCUAAAGAUAUUUGGGAUAAAUUGUGUGUAUUUCAUGAAGGUAAUCAAGAUAUUAAAGAACAAAAGAAAUCUUUACUUGUUUCUCAAUAUGAAUUUUUCAAAAUGCAUUCUCUUGAAAAUGUUGAUAAGAUGUGUAGUAGAUUUUGUGACAUUAUUGAAGAACUUAAAUUGCUUGGAAAAGAAUAUUCUUUGGAUGAGAAAAAUAGAAAGAUUUUGAAUGCCUUGCCAAAAGAAUGGGAAAACAAAAUAAAUGCUAUAGAAGAGGCAAAGGAUUUAAAUUCUAUGUCCAUUGAAUCUCUUGUGGAUACCCUAACCUCUUAUGAAUUAAAGCUGGAAUUCAAAGUGCAAGAGGAAGAAAAUGCAAGAAUGUAUAAGAGAGGCAUAGCUUUUAAAGCAUCUCAAGUGGGGGAUAACCCAUCCUUCAUGGGUAAUGAAAUCAUGGAAGUGGACAAUGAUAUAACUCCUCACAUCAAAAGUUUCAAGAAGAUCUUCAACAAGAGAUGUUCAAGAGGAGAUUGCAAAAUUACAUGGGAUGAAUGCAAUUCAAAAAGAGAAAAAGAAGAGUUGUCCCAAAUGGCACUAAUGGCCGUUGGAGAAGAUGAGGUAAGUUCUUAUCACUCUUCUUGUGAUGAAGAUAAUGAAGAUGAUGAUGUGAAAACUCUUAUGAUUAAAAUGCAUAAAAGUUUGAAAAAAUCUUAUGCUAAAAAUAAAGAUUUGAAAACAAAAAUAAAUGAUUUGUUGGAAGAAAACUCCAAACUUUUUCAAGAAAACAAAUGUUUGAGAAUGGAAAAUGAUGAUUUAAAAAAUCAAAAAGGUGUUUUUGAUUGCAAAAAUAAUUUGAAAAGAAAGUUGGAAGAGAAAACAAAGUUUUAUGAAAAAAUGUUGGAGGAACAAAAUUUGUUAAAGAAAAGAAUUAAUGACUUGAACGAGGUUCUCCAAAAUGAAAAACAAAAGUUUUCUCAAACAAAAGAAAGCAAAUCUUUUCAAGGCACAAAUAAGUUUGCUAAGAAAAUUAGUUGCAUUAAAUCCACUUAUAUGCAAAAUACUUCUAUCAUGUGUCACUUUUGUUGCCAAUUUGGACACAUGUAAAAUGAUUGCUAUGUAAAGAAAAAUAUGAGAAAAGAUAUGAAAUCCAUGUGGAUUGCUAGAUCAUGUUGUAAUAACUCCCAAGGACCCUAUUAUGGUCUUGACUUGAAAAAUAAAGGGGGAGUUUGUUUUUUGAUUGAUGCCAAAAGGGGGAGUAGGAUUUAUUGAAAUUUCUUUGCAUGUUGGCACUUUCUAAGGGGGAGCUUUAUUUGAACUUAUUUGAUAAAAGAAAUCUUCAUUUUGUUUGUCAUCAUCAAAAAGGGGGAAUAUCCACCAGAUCAUACCAAAAGAAACUUAAAAUAUCCAUUACAAUACAUAUUCAUUGUUGAAUACCACAAACACGUAAAGAUGACAACCAGUCAUGCUAUGUUUGUUGAGGGGCAAUCUGUUACUAGGCCUCCCAUGUUCAGUGGCUCUAACUAUGUUAGCUGGAAAGAACGAAUGAUUAUCUUUUUGCAAUCUAUCGAUAUUGAACUAUGGUUUAUUGUGAGUGAAGGACCGCAUGAAGCUAACUUUCUUGAUGCAGAUACAGGGUUGCUUCGGCCAAAAACAAGAGUUGAAAUGAAUGCUCAAGAUAGGACUAACCACAUUGAAUGCCAAGGCCAUGAAUGUUAUUUAUAGUGCCCUAGAUUCAAAUGAAUCAAUCAGAGUAAAAGGCUGCAAAUCGGCUAAAGAAAUGUGGGAUAAACUAAGAGAAAUCCAUGAGGGUGGUGACAAUGUGAAAGAACAGAAAAAGGCCAUCUUGGUCACGAAAUAUGAAUCAUUUAAAAUUGAACCUCUUGAGGAUAUUGACAAAAUGUAUUGCAGGUUCACUGACUUGAUCAAAGAUCUCGAGGCGUUGGGCAAAGAGUACACCUUGGGAGAGAAGAACAGGAAAAUUCUCAAUGCCUUGGGCAAAGAAUGGGAAAAUAAAGUGACAGCAAUAGAGGAGGCCAAGGAUUUAAGUUCUGUGCCUAUUGAAUCUAUCAUUAACUCACUAACCACUUAUGAGUUGAAACUGAAAUCUAAAGUGCAGGAGGAAGAGGAUGCUAGAGCAAAGAGAAACAUUGCUCUAAAGACUACUCAAGGUGAAGAUGAUUCUGCUCAUCUGGAUGAUGAAGACUCGGAUGGUGAUGAUAAUGAUCUUGCUCUCAUCACCAGAGGCUUCAAAAGAAUCCUGAAUAAAAGAAAGUUUAGAAGGGGAGGACCUAGCAAUCAAUUCCAGAAUCAGCCAUCUAUCGCAAAGUAUAAAGGUAAACAAGAUUUCAACAAGAAACAGUUGGACAAAUGCUUCGAAUGUGGACAGAUUGGACAUUAUGCAAACGAAUGCCCCAUGAAGAAGAUGAAAGAUGGAAAAGCUGAUCGAAAGCCAAGAUUCAACAAUUUUCAGAUUACUUGGAAUGAAUGCAACUCCGAAGGGGAAGUUGAAGAAGAAGAAGAAUCUGCUCAAAUGGCCUUCAUGGCUAUUGGAAAUAAUGAGGUAACCUCCACACACUCUCAAUCUGAAAGUGAUAAUGAUGAAGAUGAUGAUCUUGAAUCUUUUGUUGAAAAACUGCAUAAUGCCUUGAAGGAAUCCUAUGAUAAAAACAAGCAGUUAAAACAGAAAAUGGCUUUUCUCAUUCAAGAAAAUGCAAGUCUUUUUCAACAAAAUAAACAACUAAAGACCGACAAUGAAAGUCUAGUAAGAGCUGGAUGUAAUGUUCAAGAUGAGCUUGAUAGAAAGACAAAUAUUUGUGAAAUGCUGAAGGAAAGACAUGGUGAUUUGAAAAAAAGGAUGGACAGCUUGGAUGAGAAUUUGAAAGCAAGAAAGCAGGAGUUUAACAAAAGGAACAUGUUAUCUACACAUCCUACUACUUUUCAAAGAACAUUUGCACACAACAAAAUGGCACAUGGUUUCACAACAUAUAGAAGAGGUGAAUUAAGAUAUGUCAAACCAGUACAUGUUAAGGACUCUUCCAUUAUGUGUGUUUUUUGUUGUCAAAGAGGGCAUUUGAAAAGUAAUUGCUAUGUGAAAAGAAAUCUGAAUAAAGGGAUGAAGUGCAUGUGGUUAGUUAGAUACAAUGCUAACUAUUAUGGACCCAAAAAUUAAAAAGGGUACCAAACACGUUAUCUUUUCAGGAUAAAGGAUCAAACAAGUCAAAAUGGUUUAUUGAUAGCGGCUGCUCAAGGCACAUGACCGGUGAUCCUUCCUUGUUCAUAAAGCUGAAAUCAAAAUCAAGUGAAAAUGUAACAUUUGGUGAUGAUGUGAAAGCUAAGACAAUUGGAAUAGGUGAUGUUGGUAAGGAUGGUGAAACUUUUGUUCAUAAUGUGCUCUUGGUUGAUAACUUAGGUUAUAACUUGCUUAGUGUUAGUCAACUGUGUGAUAAAGACUUGUAUGUGUUAUUUAAAAAGCAUGAAUGCAUUGUACUUGAUUCCAAAUAUAAUGUUGUGUUCAAAGGUAAGAGGUUUAAUGACAUAUAUAUUGUGAUUCUUGAUAAAGUUGAUUCUUCUAGCUUAAAAUGUCUUAAAGCUUCAAAUGAAGAUUCUUGGUUGUGGCAUAGAAGACUUUGUCAUUUUAACAUGGAUUUACUAAAGGAAAUUUCGAAAAAGGAGUUGGUUAGAGGCUUGCCAAAAAUUAGUUUUGAUAAGGACAAAAUAUGUGAUGCAUGUCAAUUUGGGAAGCAAACUAAAAUUUCUUUUAAACCAAAAAUGUGUGUAUCUACUUCAAAACCUUUGGAACUCUUGCAUCUUGAUUUAUUUGGUCCCACUCAAAUCACUAGCUUGGGAGGUAAAAAAUAUUGUUUUGUAAUUGUUGAUGAUUAUUCCAGAUACACUUGGGUGAUAUUUCUUGCUCAUAAAGAUGAUGCCUUCAAGAAUUUUACUUCAAUGUUUGCUAAAGUGCAAAAUCUGCUUGGGUUAAAAAUUGUUAGGAUUAGAAGUGAUAAUGGGACGGAAUUCAAGUAUUGUGGUUUUCCAGAAUUUUGUGAUCAUAAUGGUAUAACACAUGAGUUUUCUAUUGCAAGGACUCCACAGCAAAAUGGUGUUGUAGAAAGGAAAAACAGGACUCUCCAAGAGGCUGCUAGAACUAUGUUGAAUGAAUGUAGGUUGCCUAAAUAUCUUUGGGCGGAAGCGGUAAACACUGCAUGUUAUGUGAUGAAUAGAAUACUCUUGAGACCUAUUUUAAAGAAAACUCCUUAUGAGCUGAUUUUUGAUAAGAAACCUACGGUUGGUUAUUUCAAAGUAUUUGGUUGUAAAUGUUUUAUUUUGAAUCUAAAGGAACAUCUUGGUAAAUUUGACAAAAAAUCUGAUGAAGGAAUAUUUUUGGGGUAUUGUGAGAAUAAAAGAGGAUAUAGAGUUUUUAAUAGAAGGACACUUGUGAUUGAAGAAGCUAUACAUAUAACAUUUGAUGAAGCCAAUGAUGAUAAUUCCAAAAGUUUGUGUGAGGAUGAUGAUGUAGGUGUUCGAGAAGCAAUGGAAAAGCUAUCAAUUGGAAAUGAAGGAAGUUCUGAACCAGCAGCAACUGAAAUGGAAAAUGAAGUUCAUAAUGAUCAAGAAGAGGAAGAUGAAGACAAAAAUGAUGAUCCACUCAAAGAUCUUCCCAAGGCUUGAAAAUUCAACCAAAAUCAUCCAAAAGAGCUUAUAAUUGGUGAUCCAUCCGAGAAGGUAAACACUCGUUCCUCAUCUAGAAAAUUGAUUGAUAAUUUUGCUUUAGUUUCUCUUUUUGAACCCAAAAAUAUCAAUGAUGCUUUAAAGGAUGAAAAUUGGAUUUUGGCUAUGCAAGAGGAACUUAAUCAAUUUGAGAGAAAUGAAGUUUGGACACUUGUUGAUAGACCUCAAAAUCAACCUAUCAUUGGCACAAAGUGGAUUUUUAGAAAUAAGUUGGAUGAUAAAGGUGUUGUUGUAAGAAAUAAAGCCAGAUUAGUUGCUAAAGGAUAUGCACAAGAAGAAGGAAUAGAUUUUGAUGAAACAUUUGCUCCCGUACCAAGAUUAGAAUCUAUUAGAAUGCUUCUUGCUUUUGCUUGCUUCAAAGGUUUCAAAUUGUUUCAAAUGGAUGUUAAAAGUGCCUUUUUAAAUGGUUUUAUUGAUCAAGAAGUGUAUGUGGAUCAACCCCCAGGUUUUGAAAAUACAAAAUUUCCAAGUCAUGUGUUUAAACUUUCUAAAGCUUUCUAUGGUUUAAAACAGGCUCCAAGAGCUUGGUAUGAAAGAUUAAGUGGGUUCUUGAUUGAAAAAGGUUUCAAAAGAGGUAUUGUGGACACCACACUUUUUACUAAGCAUGUGUUGAAUGACCUUUUCAUUGUGCAAAUAUAUGUUGAUGAUAUUAUCUUUGGUGCUACUAAUGAGUAUCUAUGUAAGGAGUUUUCCACCACUAUGCAAAAUGAAUUUGAAAUGAGUAUGAUGGGAGAAUUAAAUUUCUUCCUUGGACUUCAAAUACAUCAAACUCUUGAGGGAAUCUUUAUCAAUCAAGCAAAGUAUACCAAGGAAUUACUGAAAAGGUUUGGCAUGGAGGACUCAAAACAAGUUGGAACUCCAAUGUGCACUUCCACAAAGCUUGACAAAGAUGAAGAAGGUAAUCAUGUGGAUGAAAAGCAUUAUAGAGGUAUGAUCGGAAGCUUACUCUAUUUAACUGCAAGUAGACCUGAUAUUAUGUUUGCAGUUUGCUUGUGUGCUAGAUUUCAAUCGUGUCCAAAAGAAUCACAUUUGAAUGCUGUAAAAAGAAUUUUUAGGUAUUUGAAAGGUACAUUAGGCUAUGGUCUUUGGUAUGCUAAAUCCAGUGAGUUUGCACUAUAUGGUUAUUCGGAUGCUGAUUUUGGAGGGUGUCGUGUAGAUAGAAAGAGUACUAGUGGAUCUUGUCACUUUCUUGGAAAUUCUUUAGUCUCUUGGUUUAGCAAGAAACAAAAUGCAAUCUCAUUGUCUACAACCGAAGCAGAAUAUAUUGCCGCUAGUGCAUGUUGUGCUCAAUUUUUAUGGAUGAAGCAUACCCUGAAUGACUAUGGAUUGUUGUAUGACUGCAUGCCUGUAUUCUGUGAUAAUACGAGUGCUAUAAAUUUGACCAAAAAUCCUAUUCAGCAUUCUAGGACAAAGCAUAUUGAAAUAAAGCACCACUUUAUUCGUGAUCUUGUUCAAAAAGGUGAAAUUUGUGUAAAUUAUGUUUGUUCUAAAGAUCAAUUUGCUGAUAUUUUUACAAAAGCUUUGCCAUUAGAUCAAUUCAUUCAUCUAAGAUCAAAAUUAGGAAUGUUCGAAAAAUCAUCAUAAAUUUUUCAUUGCCUUCGGACGUCCGAAAGAGGAUGAAUGGACGUCCGAUGAUGUUCUUCAGCCAUUUUCCAGAUUGCACCUGUUCGGACGCAGCUGUCGGACGCACAACUUCGUUCGGCAGUCCGACAGUGCAACGGCUCAUUUUUUAAAAUAACUUUCUUCCUUAUUUGCUUCAGUCUCUUCCUAUUCUAUCUCUUCUCGGACGAAAACCCUCUCUUCUCUCACUCUCAAAUUCGUACCAUUCUGUAGCUACCAUUCCCAAAUUGACUCAACCAAAACAUUUCCCCAUCGUUUGCGUUUCAUUUCUCCUGAUCAUUUCACCAAACUGAGUAACACUUCGCAAAUCCCCAAAUUUUCCUCACAAUCCUACUCUUGCAUAACCGCUCUGUCAAAUCUCGUUCAAGGUGUUUUUGUCCCAAAAUUUCUGUGCGAUUCACUUCCCUACUGUUGUGUGCAUCAUUUGCAUCCUCCAUUCCACACAUUUAGAACAAUGGUGAAUCUAAGGGGAGGAAAAGUUACUGCCGGACGCAAGCAUCCACUCAGGGAUGAGGAUGAAAAUCUUCCUACUGUCAAACGGACAUCCAAACGCUUCAAAAGGGGAGCUAUCAAGGGUCAAAUGUCACGACCUACUCCACAACCCACUUCUCAACCAGAAUCUGGACAGGGGACCUCUUCUCAACCGCCUCCUAAAUCAGUCCCUCUCCCUCCAUUCUUUGAUGAUGCUGCGAAAGACAAAUACGCCUGGAUAUCUCAGAAGGGUGUCAUCCCUCAAAGAACUGUAAACCCCUCUGAAUUUCGUUCCAUAGGUUUAGAAUCCAUUCUAAGUCUAUUUGAUUUCCAGAAAUGGUCGCAUCUCAUUUCCAUGCCCAAUGUCUACUAUCCUGAUAUGCUGCAUCAAUUUUUUGCUAACCUUAGGAAAGGAACUGACCAAACUGAGAUCAUGUCUAGGGUAAAUGGGGUAGACCUAAUCUUUGAUUCUGAUACUGUGAAUUCCAUUUUAAAGACUACCAUUGAACGUUUGUGCAAAGAUAAGGUUGCUAAUUUCUUUUCUUAUGAAGAGCUUCCUACUGCUGCAAAUCAUUUUGAUGGGACAAAAAUGUUAACUUAUUUCAAAAGAAGUUUUUCUUCACCUGCUGAUGCUAAGUUGAAUGAUUUGGCUCCUGUGAAUUUGAUUGCCUUUUCUAUCAUUUCAAACUUGCUUGUGCCCACUGAUGGCCAUAGAACUGAUGCAAACAAAAUGGAGCUGUAUCUUUUUUACUGUUUUCGAGAAAAAAUUCGGAUUGAUUUUGGCUUUGUCAUGUGCAAGUUUUUACUUCGCUAUGCUACUGACUCUCGAAGAAAACUAUCCUAUGGGAAGUUUCUUCAAAAGAUUUUUGAAUUUUACAAAGUUCCAAUUCUAGGUGUUUGUCCCAAAGAAGCAUCUUCUUAUGCUUUUACCAGAGCAUAUUUUGAAAGGAAAAAUCUUAUUUUUAAAGAUAAUCUGUGGGCAUAUAAGGGGGCAUCAUCUAGUGAACAAAGAUCUAAGACUGUACAUGAUUCUUCACCCAUUUCACUCACUCCCAUUCACCCUAGGAAGUCUACCACUAAAGCAUCUUCCUCUUCCAGUAAUGAGGUAAUUGAGCUUCUUCAUGAACAAAAACAGCAUGUUCUUCUUCUAGAACAUGGCCUAAUGCUCACCAUGUCUUCUGAGCAACAAGCUGCCUUUCUUGAUAAAAAGAACCUUCUUUUUCCUCCACCUGUGGUUGAGGAAGUCUCACAUGACAAAGAACCUCGAACCACUGAUCCAGGUUCAUCAGUUCCAGAUCCGAAUCCAUCAACUCCUGUGACUCCUCAUGGCCCUUCCACAUCAGACAAAGGCAAGGCACCAAUUGAAGAAGCUACUGAAGAUGAUGAAGAAACUGAUGAGGAAGACCUCUCUCAAUAUCAGCUCUCUCGGAGGACUCCUGGAUCCACUUAGUUCAUCAUUUAGGACAUUUGCAUUCUGUUUGUCUCUUUUAUGUGUUUGUGGUAUUCAACAAUGAAUAUGUAUUGUAAUGGAUAUUUUAAGUUUCUUUUGGUAUGAUCUGGUGGAUGUUUAAGUACUGUUUUGAUGAAUGUCUAAAUAUUUUGAUGAAUGAUUGUCUAUUCUGCUUGUGUGAAUGUAAUGAAUUUGUGGAUUGUAUGAUUGUCUAUUGAAUAUGAUUGUCUAUUUUAAGUACUGUUUUGAUGGAUGUGUUGGAUGGUGUCACCAGGAUGUUGAUUUGUGAACUUGUGUAAAUUUGUGACUGUGUGGAUGACAAAAAGGGAUGUUGAUGUUGAUGUGAUUGGUUGCCCUUUUGUGAUGACAAAAAGGGGGAGAUGGUAUAAUGAUUGGAUUGAGUGAUGAUUGGUGAUUGAUGAAUGAUUGGAUUGAGUGAUGAUUGGUGAUUGAUGAUUAGUGAUGUUAGGAUAUGUUGGAUUGAUUGUUUAAAUUUGGAUUGGCUGAUAUGCUUAAUUGUUUAAUGUUUAAUUGUUUAACUCGGAUGGGCAGCCAAGUGAGGGGGAGGUUUUUCAAAAUUUUUAAAUUUUAGGAUUCACUAAGACAGGGGGAGUUUUCAUUUCAAUCAUCAAUUUCAUUUCAAACUUUUGUUUUGUCAUCAUCAAAAAGGGGGAGAAUGUUAUUCUUGGUUUUGAUGAUCACAAAAGUUUGUUUAUACAGACCAAGAAAGUGAACACUUUGAUCAGGUCUGUUGGAACAAAGAAAGCGUAUGUUCGUUUAUCUCCUGACUACGUUGCUUUGGAUGUGGCAAACAAGAUUGGAAUAAUAUGAAUGAAUUUAGUCAUUGUUUUGUUUUCGAUCAAAGAUAUUGUCUUUUAAGUAUGUCUAGUUUGUCAUUCUUGGUACUUUGAAAUAUUUGUCUAACCUUCCUCAAAUACAAGUGUUUUUUUGUCUAUCCAAGAAUCAGAUUCAAAUAUGUCAUGAAAUGUAAAACAACCAAAAUGAGAAGCAAAAACAGGACAAUCAGGUCGGACGGCCGAAAGGAAACUGUCGGACGUCCGAAAAGAUAAAGAACAUCAGGAAGGAAGCACCGUCGGACGCUCACAUGGAAGCAUCGGACGUCCGGAAGGAUCGGACGCUUGCCAUCGGACGUUAAUCAACCGCAUCGGACGUCCGAAAAAUUCCAAGAUAACUUGCUAGCUCUCGGCCCAAGGUCGGACGCUGUGCUGUCGGACGACAAAGAACUUAUCGGACGUCCGAACCUCAACUUGGCUAUCAUCGGACGAUUGGUUCGGACGAUGAUUCGAUCGUCGGACGUCCGACAGCCCCAACGGCUAGUUGACUCUUCAGCUGCCUUCUAUCCGUUGGAAGCAUUGAUGAAACCCAUUUCUGGAUCCCUUUAAAAUCAAACUGGUCUGAACGAAGUAGGGACUUUUGCUCACUUUGUUUACAAGUUCUCAAGGGAUAUUUUAGCUAGAAAAUAGUCUCCAAAGCAGAUUUGUAUUAAAGUGGUGUGAAUUUCUGUUGAGCAUUUCUUUUGUGGUUGAAAGGAUCUUUAGUGUAGCUUUGUUGAGGGUUUUCUGAGUGAUUGUAAAACUUCCUAGCUUGACUAAGUGAGGCUUAGGGCAAGGAGGAAGAGCUCCCUCCAUUGUACAUCUAGUUGAUCUUCGUUCAUCAAAGAGAAGUUGCUCUUCCUAGUGUUUAGUCUUCAAGUUUGGGUAAAGCUUGGUAGACACUUGGUUUGUUUCUCUAUUUUAUAUUUCUGUUUAAUAAAAUCUUCAUUGCUUAUCUAUACUUGCUUCUCUGAUUAAUAUUGCUAUUGUCUUCUAAUCUACUUGGUUGAUCAUUACUAAAAAGGAAGGUAAAUUUUCAUUAAAGAAAAAGUGCAUAAACUUGGUUAAGUUUUUAAUCAACCAAUUCACCCCCCCUCUUGGUUGUCUGUGGGACUUACAUAAAGCAUAGUAAAAUUUUAAACUAACACCUAGAAAAUAGCAAUCAUUUUGGAAACAAAUCCUGAGAUUUAUUAUAAUAUCACUUAACUUCUCUGAAGUUUUUAAAAUCUUACUUUCUUCCCCUGCCAACUUGGGAAGAUCAAGUGUUUCUAUCAAAGGUCACAAAUUUACAACAAUUACUGUUGCACUCUUUAUGACUAUUUAAUUGAAAAACCAAAACAAGAAGAGAAUUUUUAAAAGACCAAAAACUAAAGAUGAGAAAGAUAACCAAAUUGCUAUCCAAUAUUGGUCUAUAUUUCUUUGUAUCAACGUGGUGGUGGAAUAGUAAAAGACAUGGAUAAAUUAAAUUCUAGUUAAAGACAUGGGUAAUUUUUGUAGAAAAGUUUUGAGGAAAUCAAGAAAUUCUUUUAGAAAAUAUGUUCUAAUAUAGGAUAUAAUUUAAGUUAUACUAAAAAUUAAAAUAACCUCUUCAUACAUGUGGUUUGUAAUAUAAAUCCUACUUAUAGAAAAAAAAUUAUAUAAAUAAGUCAGAAUUUAAAAAAUUAGUCAAAAAUGUUCUAAUGACCAAAUAUAUAUCUAGGAAUAUUCUUUUUUUUUUGUUAGAACAUGAUUUGUUAUACAAGGUAAUAGUUAUUGUACAUCUACAAGAUUAUUCGUUAUUGCAUUUAUAGUUGCUCAUAUUUUCAACUUUUUACUUGUUAAAUUUAUUUUAUUUUUUAUUGUUGUUGUACGCUUAAUAAGUAGGAUAGCAUAAGAGUAGUAUUAGAACAAAAAUUUUAUCUUUCUUGCAUUUCCUUCAAAGGGACUAAAAUGUUAUGAAAAAUAUGAAUCCAAGAGAGGUAUGUGAGAUUUUAAAAAUUGAAAGAGUUCUAAGUGAUAUUUUGAGAAAUGUCAUGCGAGGUUUCCGAAAUCAUUUCCGACUUAUUAGUAUUGGACCAUUGGUAGGCUGUGUCGGACGAAGCAAAUCACAUGUCAAAUUUCAUUUGAUUUACGGCUGGAAGGCUAAGGAAGCUGUAGGUCCUGAAGCAAAAUUAGAUGGUUGCCAUAAAACAACAAAUCUUUUUAAAGGUUUUUUUUAACUAAAUAAAAUAUUCCCUCUCAAAUUAGUUUUCUUUUUCCAAAUUUCAGUUAUGUGAGUAAAUGAAAGCUUUUACAACCAUUAGUUCUUUUAAAAUAUUUUAAAGCGUAACUGCAUGUACACAUUCUAUAUUCAUUUGCCUCUUCUUCAGUUUUUAUACUCCAUCUAGGAUGUCUAAUCAUAAUUCCGUAAAAAAUUAAAAAACUAUAUAUAUUUUUCUUUAUAAUUAGUCAAUUAUAAAUUAGUAAAGUUCUAAUCAAUUUCAUCCAUUAUCUAACUUGCAAGAAAGGAAUAGAUAUCUCCUAAAUACAAAGUUCAAAAGGAAUUUCUAGUCUUUUAUAAUCACGUUCACAUGAUGUUUCGGUGGAUAUCCAUUUGUCCAUUUUCCGUUACAGAAACUUUACUUAUUACAAUCUUUUCUUUACACUCCUCUAAAAUAGUAUGAAGUAUUACCAUAAUUCUUAACAUAAUUAAAAUAGUAUUAAUUAUUCUUAAUAACUUUCAAAGUAUGUUUUAUGUUUAGUGUCUUACAUUCAUUAAAUUUAUUGUUUUAGUUCAUUAAAAUUCGAAGAUAAAAAGAAGUUAAUGCAAAUGCACGGCUGAAUAACUGGUGGUCUAAUUCUAUUGCUUGCUUAUCCACAAGAAUGACCACACCAACACUACAUUAAUACACUCAUAUUUCUUAAUUACUUGCAUUACUUAUUCUUUCUUCCCAACAAUUCUACAGCCCAUCAUCAUCAUUCCAAUUUUAAUUCAAUAAUCUUCAUACAACUCUGAACAUAUAACUACAUUUAAUAUAAAUUCGUGUCAUUCCUGCAUUUCAAUUCUCAAAAUCUUAUGGCAUGCCUUACUUUAUAAUGGUGUUUAAUUACUUAAGUUCAUAAACAAUCAUUAGUAUCAAAAUCAUAAACUUGUAUCGCACAAUAGGAUGCUCUUCGCAUCAUUAUCAGAAGUAAUUUCAAUUUCUUCGCAUAGUUUGUUUGCCCCAUCACUUAAGCACGGCAAGAAUUUUUUUUUAAAAAAUUUUAAAUAGCUGCAACAAGUUAUUAACAAAAGAUAUUAUGCUAGCUCUAAUACUAUGACGCUAUUCCCGUUCCUCUAGAGGAUUUUUCAGUCAACAAACUCCUUCAACUCCCUUCCUCAAGUUCUUUCUAGGGUUCUUUCUAUUUGUUUCUGUAAUGCAUUUUUUUGACAAAUUUUCAAUCCUAGUAUUUUCUCAGUAGAAGUAUCUUUCUUGCUUAGUGAGAGUUUUUGUUUUUUGUUUUUUUAGUUUUUAUUAGAUUUAAGUUUAUUCAAGUCUAAACUUUCUCGUAGGGCUUGAAAAUCUGUCCGGGGAAGGCUUACAAAUCAUUUACAACUACAGAGAUUUAUAUGCAUUUAAUUGUAAGAAAAUUGGGAGCUUUCUAGUAUUUUUUUUGUUAUUGGUUUCUCUGAUUUGAAGGAAGUCACUUCUAUUUGCAUUUCCAUUGCGUCUUUUUCAUAUAUUUGCUGCUAUUUGUACAACUUUUCUGUGAUUAAAUAAAAUUCCCUUCCUCGUUAAAAUAAAUGAAAGAAAAUAUGAAGGAGAAAUUAAAUUGAUCUAAUUGACAAUAUGUCUUUAUAACUAGAUGCCUUCUCAGAUAUUCUCAAAAACUUCCAUACUCUAACUAUCAUUAUUUUACCACAAUAGUACUUCUUUAACAAUUACUAGCAUUUCUAUGUUAUCAUUUGAACUGCUUCCUUUCCAUCUUUGGUACACUUAAAUUUGCAAUUAUCUCAUGAAAUUCUUAAAUUCAGUAACUUUCAACUACAUGUUAUGAUGAGAGAUAUUUGUUUGACAUGAUAUAAACCUAAUAAGAAAAGAAUUCAAUUUGAUAACACACGUAAGACAAUAUAUAUAGGUCCAUGUACAUAAACCAAAGAACAAAAUUAUAUCAAUUCAGUAAGCACAUUUAAUAAUAUUCCCUGGAGCCUUAAAGCAUAAGUUAAACAUUUUAUCUGGAAAUGUCUCCUAAGAAUCUUAUACGUGAUGAAGUAAUUAGGCAGAGAACUGGGAAACGGAAAGACUCGAGCAUAUGCGUUUUUUUUUUUUUUUUUUUUUUUGUGAAAUUGCAUAACAAAUAUGGUAAGUAGCACCAAUCCAGUGGGAUGGCCUAUUAUAAGUGCAUAUUUUGCAUGUUUUAAGUGUGUUUUAUUAUUUAGUUUUGGUGUGUUUUAACUACAUUUAUAGCUACUUAACUAAAUUUCUAGUGAAAAUAUGCUUAUGGUUAAAAUUUUAAAAAUUGCAUUUCUAUGGAUUUUAAUAGCGAUAACUUUAUUUUUUUUAUAGGUUUAAUAGUUCAAUCAUCAAUUGGAGUGAAUUGAAAAUAUACUUGGAUGAUUAUUGAUGAUUUCAAGUUGUUUAAAGAAGACAUGAAGUGCAAAAAUGAAAUGCAAACAAGAACAAAAGAAAGAAAGUUUUACAACUUUGACACCUUGUGAUAUUUCGGCUAUAUCUUGCACUACAAACAUCAGAUUGAGAUCAUUAUUAAGCAUUUGAAGCUAAGAGAUAUAUCUAUAUUUGUUAUGAAGACAUCAAAGUGCAAUUCAAUUUUUUUCUUUUUCAAAAAGUCGAAAUAUAGAAGUGCAAUUCUAUUGUCAAAUCUGUAGCAGAGUCUUGACCAGGUGAUGAAAUUUUGGUCAUUUCUCAAUCCACAGAGCUUCAAAUUGGAUGAUUCCUAAUGCAUUGAAAAGCUAACUCAAAAAGUUACAAUUUUUAUGUUUUGCACAAGAACUAGUUCAGCCUCCAUCAUCAAGAAAAAAUCAGUGAAAGUUAGGAAAAGCAGAGAAAGUAAAUUCGAGUUCGGAUAUAAACUAAACCCGACCUCGGAUAAACUUCUGUAAUCGGAGGCUACAUCUAAGAGGAAGAUCCGAGCUUGGAUCCCCAUGUUAUAGGCCUCAGAUCCUAAUGUGUAGUGAAGAUAAAAAUGGAGAAAACUGAAAUCCAAGGAGUAUUUAGAGCAAUCGAACCUCGGAUCCCCAAUUGCGAAUCUGCAACUUGUGCUCCAUUCACACAACCUUUUUUAUCACUUUUUCUACAAAGAUUCUGGCUGGAAAUGAGCAUAUGAGCAUGGAAGUUUUGAGAAGAAACCUUUGAGAUUUUCAAGAGUCGAAAUGCUAACUAGAAACAACUCAUCUUGAGCUUUAAUCUUUCUAUAAAUAGAGGCCUUGGAAAAUAUUUUUACAACUUUGGAAGGCUAGAAAAACUCACCAACAAUGUAGUCUUUACUAGAAUUUCCUUAGUUUCUUAGUUAGAGUAGAUUAGUAUAGUUAGGCUAGUUUAUCCACUCUUAUAUAAUGGUAAGAUUAGGAUGAAGAUGGAGAUGAAAAAGGAGAGGAUAAAACUCAUGUGACAAGGGCUAUCUCUUCUCCAUUAUCUUUUACAUUGGAUUCUUAAAUAUGGUUAAUAUGCAAGUUUUGGAAUUUGUUUUCAUGUUUUGCUAAAGUUUAUACCUAGAGUUAUGAAUGAACUUUUUAUAUCUUACUAGUGAUGUUUAUUUGGUUAUUUGAUGAUGUUAUUUUGAACAAGUUAUUUAUCACUUUUGCUUAUCUAAUCAUGAUUAGAUAAGCAAUUAAUUAUGAUAAUCUUAAAGUGUUAAAUUUGUAAUGAAAAUUGAAAUUUAGCACUAGUUCAAGAAAGUGAUAAACCUAUGGAAUACACUCACGAAAGUAGAGGUGCAACUUUGUAACUUUAGUGACUUGUUUCAUGUAAUUUCAUAGAAGAAAUGAGUUUGUAGUUAGUUUCAUAACUACGAAAAUAGGUAUGAAUUAACUAUUGGUAUAGUUGGUAUAUCGGUGAAAGCACGUAUCACGUAUAUUAGGAAAUUAUGUCAUAACUAGUCAAGAUAAUAGUAACUUAACCGAUAAUUUCAUUUGUAAAAGUAGUAAGGAAUUCCAUACCUCUAGGAGCUUUAUAUUGUCAUUUUUAUUACUUUUAUCUCAUGUUUGUAGUGAAAUUUUAAUUUCUUGCGCUUAUGAUAGUAUAAAUAAUAAAGGAGUUCAAAAAUCAUCGGUAAUUGACAAUCUUUCCUAUGGGAUCGAUACCUAAUACCCCUAUACUCAAUAAACGACUUGUAUACUUGCGAAAAAUCGUGUGUGGAGUAUUUAAAAUUAUAUAAAUGUAGAACUUGAAUGUGGAUAAACCAAUUAUUAUAUAUAUAUAUCCGGCGUUCAUUAGCUCUCUGCCAUUGAUGAGGGGAAUUGAUAGAAGAUGCUAAGAGGUAAGACGGCAGAAAACGCAUUGCUUUGAACUGUAAACUUGUGCAGAUUUGCGUGGCCAUGACACUACUUGGACGGUCGGACCAUUCAGUACUGACAGACCGUGCUGUAAGAAAGAGUGACAUCCACAGUCAACUCAAGGGCGGAGCCAUGUUAGAGAUCAAUAAUCAGAGGCUUGCAAAAUUUCGUAAUUUUUCAAUUUAGCUCACAUUUGCACUGACAAAUUUUGUAAAAAUUUCCUUUUGCUCUCGCAUUGCCCCUUAAAACAGCUAACGUAUUGGAAACGUAGAAUGGACCAGCUAAAUAACCAAGAUGCCACUGAUCACAAUAAUUUGCAUAGUGAGUUAUUGAGUGACUUCCCCGCCUUUGCUCAUUAUAAAUGCCGGCCCCCUCCACAUUCCAAACAUACUCAACCAGCUUCUGUGCUAUAUUUUGCUAUCUUCUGCCACCACCACUGCUCCCACAAAAUGGAAAGCUUUUCUCCCACUUGGGCUGCGUAUGCACUCGAAUCAUACGAACAUAUUUGGGUGGAAGAAAUGAAUUCACUUCUGCAGCAGCUAUUCAAAUCAUUGGGCAAGCCUGUCGUGUUGAAAGAUUAUCUUUCAAUAGGGAGUUUCAAGGUGAUUAGUAGGAUGAUCUUGGGGGAAAACAUACAUUGAUGAGUCUUAGAACUCAAUUGUCAUGCACGAAGAGUUCAGGCAAAUGAUGGACGAGCUAUUUUUGCUGACUGGUAUGUCUAACAUUGGUGAUUCCUUACCUUGGAUCGAUUCCUUGGAUUUGCAGGGGUAUAUCAAAAGGAUGAAAAUCAUGAGCAAGAAAUUUGAUAGGCUUCUGGAACAUGUUCUCGAUGAGCAUAAUGCCCAGAGGGAGGAUGAAGUUGAUUGUGUCAACAAGGACAUGGUGGACGUCCUUUUGGACCUUGCAGAUGAUCCCACUUUUGGAGGUAAAGCUAGAGAGGCAUGGAGUCAAGGCAUUGACUCUGGUAUAUGUUACUUACAAACUGCAUAAUGUGUGCUGUCAAGUUUUAAACGCCUAAAAACUUAGAAAGUAGUCAAUGAUCUUUUGAACUUGAAUACUCCCCAAAAUUUUCUUUGCUACAAAAAACUUGAGAGAAAAUAGUCAGAAUCUUUUGAGUUUGAUGAAAAUUUUUCAAUGGAGUCAGAAUUAACAAGAAAAUUUCUUUUUAAUCCUUCAAAAAGAAAUUGCUUUUGCUAAACGUACUCAAAUAAGUUAGUGACGAGUGCAGGGUAUACAUAUGAUAGGGUGUUAAUUGUUAGUAAUUUUAUUGUUAAUUUUCCCUUUUAUCUUUGUCAAAUAUUGUUUUAAUUAUUAAUAUUUACUUAUAUUUGGUAUUGGAGCCAAUUUCAGGGAAUGAAGCAGAAAACUACAAAAAAGAAGGGACUUUCUGAAGAUAAUUGAGACUUCAAAUAAGCCACAGACCUGGCCCACAUGGUGAUAUACGCGGACUGCAUUUCUUUUUUGCGGAUUAGGAGUAUCUUGGAGUGUUGAAGUGUUUGACUAUCAAGAGGAAACUAAAGAAAGAAGGACUUCAGAGAACUUCACUUUAUGUACACUCCUUUCUCAAUUUGUGCGAGGACCACGGAAAGAAGAAAGGCAUUAGUCAUUUGAAUUGAAAGGAAACAAACGUGCAAAGAGUUGUCUUUGUUCCUUAUUCGUGGGGACCACUGGAUAGAUAGCUUGAGUCAUUUCCUUUUGGCUAUAUAAGGACAAUAGUAAGAAAGACUAUGGAGAGUUUUUUUAAUAUAGUUUAGUUUUAUUCUUUCUUGGUUCCUUUGAUGGCCUGGACCUCAGUUAAAUUACUUGGAGAUUUUCUCAUGAUACGUGGCUAAGUUUUCCUAGUCGAAGGUCAAUUUGAGGACUCGGUUUCGAACAUCUGUGAGAUCUAAUUAUUUUAUUUACUUCUUUUAUUUAUUGGUAUUUGUGCGUUUUCUGAUUUAAUUGCUUAUGCUUGUUAUGUUAUUUGAAUGUCAAGGGCCCGAUAUUCGAAUUAACCUAAUGAUCUAAUGCCAAAUUAAUUGAUUGAAUCCGUAAUUGUUCAAUUGAUUAAUACCAGUGGCGACUAGCGUGAUUGGUUUCAUGUUAGGGAAACGUAUGAUCUAACUUAAACAAACCCUCGUAGCGUGUUUGUUGGUUAGGAUUGGGCUUUUCUAAUUAUUAAUGCAAUCGAGUAAUUCAAUCCUAUUGUCGUACCUAGGGUUAUUUCUUGGUUAGAGAAAUAGUUAACGGUCGUACCUUAACUAUCGAGAAAUUAAGGAAAGACUGGUUGUUCAUCGCGUGUAUGGCAACUAUAACCAAUUUAUUAAUAAGUAAUUGAAUUAUCUUUGCGUCGAUGAUCAGUUGCAUGGACCGUAUCUGAAAAGUUGCACCUUUGGCUAGAGUCAUAUUGGUUAUUGAUUAAUUUCUAUUAGUUGUUUUAUUGGUUAGUUAAUUAGUUAUUUUAUAUUCUCCAAAAAAACCCCACAUACUUUGGACUUUAAAAUAAACGAAUUAUCCCCAGUCCCUGUGGAUUCGACCCUACUUAUCACUAUCUACAGAAAUUAUAUUUUAUUUAAGUAGGUAUUUAUUAUUGCACAGGUUUGACACCCUGUCAAUUUUUGGCACCGUUGCCGGGGACUGGUGUCAGAUUAAUUUGUUUCUUUUUGAAUUCAUCUUGUUUUCAUUUUUUUUUAUUUUUCUCUUAUUUUUUUAUAUAUAGUUUAUGACUUCUAACACUCCGUAUUUUGGUGAUAGACUGGAUUUUGUUUCCAGGGAAGACAAUGAGGCUUGUUUUUUUUUUUUCUAAAUUUGCAUAUUCAGAGGCACUAAACUCUCUUAUUGAAAGAAUGGCUGAUGCAACCUGUGGAAUUUGUUAUGUCAGGGAUCAUUCAACCGGUAUGUGCCCCGAAUAUCAAGACUACCUGAGUGAUUAUCUCACAAAAAAAUUUGGAGAUUCUUCACCUCGAUCUCAAACGUGGUAUGACUCUUAUUCAAACGGGUAUGAUCAAGGAUGGUGGGAUAACUCCAGUUAUAAUUAUACAACAGGGUCAAUGAAUUUUCAGCAGUAUGAGUCUCAAGAAUCAUCAUCUAUGUCAGGUAUGUCUUUUGAAGAAAUAGUUGAAUCAAUAGCUACUAAUACAUAUCAAUUCCAACAGGAGACACAAAUGAGAAAUGGGAUGAUGAAGGAUGCAAUGAGUAAUCUGGCAGAUCAAAUAUGUCUAUUGACAUCUAGAAUAAAUCGAUUGGCUUCUCAAAUUGAAAAAUUGCCCUCGAAAAUCAUUGUUGAUUUUGAAGAAAAUGAGAGUUCAAUUUGCUUGACUAGUGAUGAGGAGAUGCAAGAGUGUCAAAAUGAGAGAUCUACAGAUGCAGUUUAAAAAGAAGUCGAAAAGGAAGAAAUGGAACCCCAACCGCAACCCAUUCAAGUGAAAGAAUCCAGUGAAGAAUCAUCAAAUGUGGUGACACCACCUCCAUUCCCUAACCCGCAUUUUCUUAACUCUUACUCUAUGAUUUCUGUUAAUGAGAUUGAUUUUGCUAUACCGAAAGUUUUUGAGUCUCAUGGCAGAAAUAAGUUAAGAGUAGCUAUGGUCAAAUAUCUUGAACCGUUGAGUGCUCUUGAUGAAGGAGUGGAUGAAGAAUUGAGAUCACUGCUUGAUUAUUUGGCGCCAUCAACUAGUCCAUGGAAGACCGUAGCUCGUGUGCUCAAGGAUUACUCUAUUUACGAGGGCUAUCAGGACUAUAUAGAGGAUGAAGCAUUGAAACGAGUCACAAGAUUUUGUCCUCCCUAAGCAAACAUGAUAAUAUCUAGCCAAAAACGUUAAAGAAAGGCGCUUUUUGGGAGGCAACCCAAAUAUUGAUUUUAUUGUUUUUCGUUGUUAAAUUCUUUAAUUAUGCCGUUUCUUAUUUAGGUUGUGGUCGGUUUUAAUGUUUUCCUCCACUGUGAUCAGGACAGCAAUCUUGGCGUGCCCACGCGGUGUUUAUAACUCCUGAAGUCAGUGGACAUUUACCAAUCUUGGCGUGCCCACGUCAUGUUUGACGACCCAAAAGCUAAGAAAAAAAAAUUUAUUAUUUAUUUAUUUAUUAUUAUUAUUAUUUCUAAAAAAACAAAAAGGAUUAAAGUAUUUUAGCAAUUACAAUUUUCGAAAUUUGAAUUCAAAAAGGAAAAAAAAACUGAAAAAAAAGAAGAAAAAAAAAACAAAAAUCCACAAAAACUAUUUUUUCUUUUCUUUUUCUCCUUUCUUUCUCUUUUCUUCUUUUCUUCUUUCUUCUUUCUUUCUUUUUUUUCCUUUUCUUUCUUUCUUCCUUCUGCCCCCGCUGCUUUCCCUUUUUCCCUUUUUCCUUCGUUUCUUCCUCCAUUGCCGCCGCCGAACCCAGCUUCCUAGCACGACUACCACCUCGCAGCUCUACCGCGCGCCAGCCCGCCGCCAACCGUCGCUGCCCGCUUCUCCCACCCGCUACCAGCUCGCGGCCAAGCUCCUCUACCGCGCCUCCAGGCCGUCGCCCUGCUCCGCGAGCUCCACCGCACACGCCCCUCCCUCUCCAGCUCCACUUCACCCACAGACCACGGCCGCACUCUUCUCACCUAGCGUCCUACCACCAUCGCAAGCUCCACCCCAGCUUACCACCACCACCUCCCUCUGCUCUCUCUCCACUUCACACCAGAUCACGGCCAAUAGCUCCUCCUCGCAGCCCCCAGCUCCUCCACUAUAGCGACUCCGUGCGCUCCGCCGCUGCUCCACUGCUCCACCACCCAUGGCCAUCUGCUUGGUGUCUCUGGCAUGCAACAGAGGUACUUGUUUUUCCCAAUUUAUUGGCUAAUUUUCUAAGGUAAAUCACUUAUAUUUGGGGUACUAUUUCUAGAAUAGAUCUCUAGAGUGAAUUGGACACAGGCUUUGGGGUCUAUGUUGAACUUUGGUUUUCGGGUCCCUGCUAAAUUAUUUUACUGAAUUUUUUAUUCCCUAUGACUGUUGAUUUAAGUUGCUAAAUUAUUCGGGCCUCUGCUGAAUAUUAGUUGGCAGAGUUGUGCAUUUAUUUGUUCAGUCCAGCAACUAUAAUACUUAGUGCAUUGAUUGCUGAUUCAUGGUCGUAGUUACUAUCCCAAUUCAUUCAUUUGGGACUUCUUUUAGCCCUUGAGAUUGAUAUUUUCUGGACUCUCUGAUAGCUAUUUUAUUUGGAAGUUAUCGGGGGUUGACUUUGGGGUUUUGCUGCUUUUGUUGGGCGUUUGUUGUGAUUUUGGGUUGGGCAUUUAGUUGCUGUUUCUGUACACCAUCGGUUGCGAUUUCUAAGAGGUUCUUGUGGCUGAUUUAAUUUUGCUCUGAUUCCAUUUUUGUUGUGCACCAUUGACUAUUGGGCUUUUGUGCUUAAAGUGUUGCUCCUGCUAGAUCUCCGAACUGUUGCUGGAGUUACCAUUUUCUUGGAUCAAAUACUGAUUUUGGCAGGUUGAAUUGGGGAAUUGACUGUCCAAUUGGAGGCAGCUGUUACCAUUUUGGGACCAAUUGUGUCUAUUUUGCUGUGAUUUGUGUCUAAUUGUGGGUAAUUUGCUUGUUAAAUUGGGAGGUGCCUAUAACGCUUAAAUUUGCUUAUUGAAGUUAGUUGCCUCUGAUUGCCUUGUUUAGGAGCAUUUUAUCCUUUUGGUUUCCUUUACUAAGCUAUUUGGAGCACUUGUUGCAUGAUUGGACUGCCUUGAUUCUGAAUUUGACUACAUUUGGACCACAGGGGCUCAUUGAUUGCAUUUGUUAUUAGUGUUGAGGUAUUCGUAUAACCUGUGGGUGAUUGAAUUGUGCCUAUUGUUCAUUGGGUUGGUUUUAAACAAAAAAUUGUUAUUACUUUAAAAUUCCUGUUUCCAUUAUUUGUUGGCAAUUGUAGUCCCUUGUGAUUAGAGUGACAUCUAGAGAUCAUGGUAAGGCCAAGAUCCGCUUCUAGGUUAAGGACACCUAGACACUCGCAACCUCCUCCUACCCCAGGGGCUGACGAAUGGCACCAGGUCCAGAUGCGAGUUGAGCGACUAGCGACUCGGAUGACCCACAUUGACGUCAACCUGCAUCACAUGCGCAGAAUUUGGCAGCAUUUAUGCCCCAUGCAGGCCUUGAUCCUCAAUUUCCACCUGAACCGCCCCUGUUUUGAUGAUUUCAAGGAAGUACCGUUGCCCCUCUCUUUUCUUCUGUUUUUACAUUAUCACAUUGAGGGCAAUGUGUGACUUAGGUGUGGGGGGGUCAGUUUGGGUGCUAGUAUUUUUAGUUUUUAGGUUCUAGAGGUUUUUCCUUUGUUUUAGUUUGAUAUUUAUCUCCUUUUUCGUUUAUUUUCUUUUCUUUUCUUUUUCUAGUGGUCAGUCUUCAUAUGAAUACCAAGUUUGAUGCUGGAUUGUUGUCUCUAAUUCUGCUAUUGCCAAGUUUAUUAAUAAAAAGGUAUCAAGUUGAUGUGGUUGAGUUCAGGAACAUCUCUUUGGUGAAUAUCAAUAAUUACUUAACUUUUCCAAUUUUUGGUUAAUUUUUCUAGGCAUAGGGAAUGAUUGUUGGCAUUUUUCAUGUGAAUUGGUCCAAUUAUUAAUUUUUGUUCUCCAUGUCUGGAAAUUUGAGGCUGGCUGCUGUUAUUCUUGUGUUGCUUUUAGAUAUCGUGCUACAUGGUUGCAAAUAAGAGUGACUGUACACCGCUAGUGGUUACUACUGAGUAACCGGGGAUCUUCACUUGAAGUGUUGAUUUUCGUGUCAAAAGGUAGUAGUUGCUAUCAGUGCGUGGUCCCGUAGCAAUUGGAGCUGAGUAACCGGGCUCCUCCUCUAGCAAAUGUUGGAGUUCGCGUCAAAAGACUCUAAGGGCUAUAGACUAAGUCUUUUGUUAUUCAAAAAAAAAAAAAGAACAAAAAAAAAUGAGGAAAAAGAAGUGAAGUAAAGAUUGUGUUAGUAUGUGAAUAAGUCAGCUUGCCGGUUUGUGAUCUUAAUGUCGAGAUUUUGGUUAAUAGCUGGACCAUUUACUGAUAAAUGUGAGCAACCAUUCCUUUUUCUUAGAUUAGUUUGCUUUAAAUUGGAGGAGUUGGUGGUUGGGAAGCUAACCGGAGUGGUCUUUCUUGGAUCUUAACUGUGAUGCGUGAUAUAUGUUUUUCUAGGUAUUUUGGCAAUAUGAUAGUUAGAGCAAUAGCCAUUGUCAAAUUUUGGUGUUCAAGUGCUGUUCUUAUGCUUGAGGGCAAGCACGAUUUAGUGUGGGGGGAAUUGAUAGGGUGUUAAUUGUUAGUAAUUUUAUUGUUAAUUUCCCCUUUUAUCCUUGCCAAAUAUUGUUUUAUUUAUUAAUAUUUACUUAUAUUUGGUAUUGGACCCAAUUUCAGGGAGUGAAGCAGAAAACUACAAAAAGGAGGGACUUUCUGAAGAUAAUUGAGACUUCAAAUAAGCCACAGACCUGGCCCACAUGGUGAUAUACGCGGACUGCAUUUCUUUUUUGCGGAUUAGGAGUAUCUUGGAGUGUUGAAGUGUUUGACUAUCAAGAGGAAACUAAAGAAAGAAGGACUUCAGAGAACUUCACUUUAUGUACACUCCUUUCUCAAUUUCUGCGGGGACCACGGAGAGAAGAAAAGUCAUUUGAAUGGAAAGGAAACAAACGUGCAAAGAGUUGUCUUUGUUCCUUAUUCGUGGGGACCACUGGAUAGAUAGCUUGAGUUAUUUCCUUUUGGCUAUAUAAGGACAAUCGUAAGAAAGGCUACGGAGAGUUUUUUUAAUAUAGUUUAGUUUUAUUCUUUCUUGGUUCCUUUGAUGGCCUGGACCUCAGUUAAAUUACUUGGAGAUUUUCUCAUGAGGCGUGGCUAAGUUUUCCUAGUCGAAGGUCAAUUUGAGGACUCGGUUUCGAACAUCUGUGAGAUCUAAUUAUUUUGUUUAUUUCUUUUAUUUAUUGGUAUUUGUGCGUUUUCUGAUUUAAUUGCUUAUGCUUGUUAUGUUAUUUGAAUGUCAAGGGUCCGAUAUUCAAAUUAACCUAAUGAUCUAAUGCCAAAUUAAUUGAUUGAAUCCGUAAUUGUUCAACUGAUUAAUACCAGUGGCGACUAGCGUGAUUGGUUUCAUGUUAGGGAAACGUAUGAUCUAACUUAAACAAACUCUCGUAGCGUGUUUGUUGGUUAGGAUUGGGCUUUUCUAAUUAUUAAUGCAAUCGAGUAAUUAAAUCCUAUGAUCGUAGUUAGGGUUAUUUCUUGGUUAGAGAAAUAGUUAACGGUCGUACCUUAACUAUCGAGAAAUUAAGGAAAGGCGCGUGUAUGGCAACUAUAACCAAUUUAUUAAUAAGUAAUUGAAUUAUCUUUGCGUCGAUGAUCAGUUGCAUGGACCGUGUCUGAAAUGUUGCACCUUUGCCUAGAGUCAUAUUGGUUAUUGAUUAAUUUCUAUUUAUUUCUAUUAGUUGUUUUAUUGGUUAGUUAAUUAGUUAUUUUAUAUUCUCCAAAAAAUCCCCCAUACUUUGGACUUUAAAAGAAACGAAUUAUCCCCAGUCCCUGAAUUAUCCCCACUAUCUACAGAAAUUAUAUUUUAUUUAAGCAUGUAUUUAUUAUUGCACAGGUUUGACACCCUGUCAACAUAUAACAAUUAGUUCAUUUCACAAUCAAAUUUUAUAUUUAUAACAUUCUAAAUUCCUUAGAAGCGAUUUUUUUGCAAGUGCAUGAGUUGUGAUUGAGUAUAUGAUAUUAAGGGUCGAACCUACAGGGAAGAUUUUCAAAUAUUAUGGAUUUUCGAACUCCUUUAUUAUUUAGAUUAUCAUAAGUGCAAGAAAUUGAAUCUACACUAUAAAUAUGAAGUAAAAGUAUUAAAUAUAACAAUAGGAAACUCCUAAAGGUAUGGAAUUCCUUACUACUCUUGCCAAUAAAAUUACCGGUUAAUUGAAUGUUAUUAUCUUGGUUAGUUAUAGCGUAAUUUCCUAAUGUAUGUAAACCUACUCUCGAAGUGAAUCAAUUAUAUUUAUAGGUAAACCAUACUUACUCUCGUAGUUAUAAAAUUAAGUAUAAGUUCAUUUCUUCCAUGAAAUUAUAUGAAACAAGUCACUAAAGUCACAUAGGUGCACCUCUACUCUCAUGAAUGUACUCCCUAAGUUUAUCAUUUUCUUAAACUAGUAUUAAAUUUCAAUUCUCACUGCAGAUUUAAUACCUUAAUAUUAUCACAAUUAAUGGCCGAUUAAUCGUGAUUAGAUAAGCAAAGUGAUAAAAUAACUUGUUCAAAAUAAUAUCAUCAACUAACAAAAUAAACACCACUAACAAAAUAUAGGAAGUUCAUCGAUAACUCUAGGCAUAAACUUUAACUAAAUAUGGAAACAAACACCAAACUUGUAUUAUAGCUAAAUAUAAAAUCAAAUACAAAAGAGAAAGUGUUAGGAGAGAAGUCACCCUUGUCGCAUGAGAUCCAACUCUCCAUCUUUGCUUUUCAAAUCUUCAUUCAAAUCGAACUACAAACACAAAAAGGAUAAACUACACUAACUAUACUAUACUAAUGAACUAAGAAAAACUAAUGAAAACUAUAUUUUUGUGGAGUUUCUCUAGUCUUCCAAAGUUAUCAGAAUGUUUCUCAAAAGCUGCUAUUUAUAGAGAAUUCAAGCUCAAUAUGAGUUGUUUCUUAAUUGGCAAGUUUGGCUUUUGAAUUUACCAAGAAUUAUUUUCCAAGUUUCCACACUUUUCUUGGUCAGAUACAGCCUUACUGGAAUUGAGUUGGAAAGUUGUGUGAACAAAGAACAAGUUGCAACCGAAAAUGAUGAAUAUACGAUGACGUGCGCGGGGUAUACAUAUACAAUAAGUUUAUCCACAAUCAAGUUUUAUAUUUAUAAUUCCUAAAUAUCCUACACGGGAUUUAUUGCAAGUAUACGAAUCGUGAGCGAGUAUAGGGUAUUAAGGGUCGAUCCCACAGGGAAGAGUGACAAUUAUCGGUGUUUUUUGAAUUCUUUUAUUAUCUCAACUACCAUAAACAUAAAAUUAAUGAAAAUAAAACUAGAAAACUCCUAGAGAUAUGGAAUUCCUUACUACUCUUGCAAAUGAGAUUACCGGUUAAGUGAAUGCUAUUAUCUUGGUUAGUUAUGGCGUAAUUUCGUAAAGUAUGUGAAACCUACUCUCGUAGUGGAUCAACUAUACUUGUAGUUAUACUAUACCUACUCUCGUGGUUAUGAAAUUAACUACAAUCUCAUUUCUUUAUGAAAUUACAUGAACAAGUCACUAAAGCCACAAAUGUGCUCCUUUACUCUCGUGAGUGAAAUCCCUAGGUUUAUCACUUCCUUGAACUAGUGUUAAACUCCAAUUCUCAUUGUAAACUUAAUACCUUUAGAUAAUCACAAUUAAUGGUCUAUUAAUCAUGAUUAGCUAAGCAAAAGUGAUGAAUAACUUGCUCAAAAUAAUAUCAUCAAAUAACCAAGUAAACAUCGCUAACAAGAUAUAGAAAGUUCAUCCAUAACUCUAGGCAUAAACUUUAGAAACACAUAUAAAAACAUAAAUCGAAACUUAUAUUAUAGAUAAACAUGAAUUCAAAUACAAAAGAGAAAGUGAUAGGAGAGAAGUCACCCUUGUCACAUGAGCUCCAACUCUCCAUCUUUGCAUCUCCAAUUUUCAUCCAAAUCUAACUACAAAAACAAGAUGGAUAAACUACACUACCUAUAUUAUAUUACUCUAACUAAUGAACUAAGGAAACUCUAGUGAAAGUUACAUUUUUUGUGAGUUUCUCUAGCCUUCCAAAGUUUUUUAAAAUGCCCUCCAAAAGCUUUUAUAUAUAGAGGAUUCAAAAGCCAAAUGAGUUGUUUCUAGUUGUCAUUUUGAAACUCUCUAAGUCUGUUUCUCAAAGUGUCCAUGCAUCAUAUGAUCAUUUCCAGUCGGAAUCUUUGCAAAAAAAGUGAUAAAAAAGGUUGUUGAUAAGAGUUUAUUUUACGUAUUUUUAGUGUGUUUUAUUAGUUAAUUUUGGUUUGAUUAUUUAGUUUUAUAACUAAAAUAACUAAGGUUUUGGUAAAAAAACUACAUUUUAUGUUAAAAUGGCUAAACAUUGCAUUUUAUGGAUUUUUAUGGUAAAAAAACUUCAUAUUUUGUAGGUUUAAUGAUUCAAUCAUCAAAUGAAGUGCAUUGGGAAGAUAUUUGGAUGAUUGAAGAUGGAUUAAAGUGGUGAAAAAAAAAUAUGAAGUGUAAAAGGAAAAAUGCAAGAAAAGUCAGGUUUAACAACUCUGACACGUUUUGGUAUUUUGACUAUAUCUGGAGCUACACAGAUCGGAUCAAGGUGAUCUUGGUACCAUUUUGAAGCUAAGAGAUAUAUCUACAUUUGGUAUGAAGACAUCAAAGUCCAAUUCAGCCGUUUUCAUAGUCCAAAAGUUGAAAUACCGAAAUUCAACUCAGCUGUCCAAAGUGGAAAACAGAGCUCCGACCAGUCUAUAGUAUUUCGGUCAUAUCUCAGGCUACAAAGCUCCAAUUUGGAUGAUUCUUGAAGCAUUGAAAAGCUAACUCAAAGGGCUACAACUUUGCUGUUUUACACAAAAGCUAGUUCGGCCUUUAUGAGACAAAAUCGCAGAUUAAGUAAGGCCAAAGUGAAUACGCGAGUACACAAAACGUGACUUGUAACCGCGUUUUGUGUAGGCGCGUUUUCUGGCCGAAAUUCUGCAAUUUGACUCAGCCAUUUCCCUUGUGUUCAUACCACUUUCCAGCUAUAAGAUGCAAGGGAAUUCGGUGCACAUGCUUCAGAAGACAAAAUGGCAGACAAUAUGGCUUAUUUUCAAGUCAAAAACAAUGGUUUUUGACUAUCUUAACAAAAUGAGAUUUGAAGAAUCAUAGCAGCAAAUUUGGACUGGGAGAAGAGGAACUUUUCAUGAGUUUAUAUGCAGAGACAGAGAGCCAUUCAUUCAUUAUCAUACGGGGAGAGAACUUGAAGUGCAGAAAUGUAGUUCUUUCAUUUCCUUAGUGUAGGAUAGUGUAGUAAGUGUAGUUAAUCCAUUCUUGUAUAAUAGCUAGAUUAGGAUGAAGAUGGAGAUAAAGAAGAAGGAGUUGAAGCUCAAGUGACAUGGGUUAUCUCUACUCCAAUUCUUUAUCUUUUGUAUUGGAUUCUUAACUAUGGUUAUAAUGCAAGUUCUGGAAUUUAUGUUUAUUAUUUGUUUCUAAAGUUUAUGCCUUGGGUUUGGUUGAACUUCCUAUGAUUGUUAGUGUUUAUCAUUUGGCUAUUUAACUGCUAUGAUUUGAGCAAGUUAUUUAGCACUUUAGCUCUUUAAAUCAUGAUUAAUCUGGUACCAUUAAUUAUGAUUAUCUAAGGUGUUAUUUCUACAAUGAAAAUUGAGAUUUAACAUUAGUUCAAGAAGUGCUAAACAUAGGGAAUACACUCACGAGAGUAGAGGUGCACCUAUGGGGUUUUGGUGAUUUAUUUCAUGUAAUUUCAUUGAAGAAAUGAACUUGUAACUAAUUUCAUAACCAUGAGAAUAGGUAUGGAUUGGUUAUUAGUAUAAUUGAUUCACUACGAAAGUAGGAUUCAAAUGCAUAAGGAAAUUACACCAUAACUAGCCUAGAUGUAGUACUCAAUGAUCCAAAUAUAACACUUGCAUGAGUAGUUAGGGAUACCACAACCUAAGGAGCUUUUAUUUGUUAUUUUGUAUAAUUUCAGUAGGUUAAAUUUCUUAUAAUUCAUUGAUAGUCUAAAUAAUAGAGAAGUUUUAGUAAUACCGGUAAUUGUUCACUCUUCCCUAUGGGAUCGACCCGAUAUAUACCCUAAACUACUAGUUGAUCUGUAUACUUGCAGUGAACGGGUGUAAUUCGAUUUUUUAACUUGUACGUAUGUAAAAUACCCGUCAAGUUUUUGGCGCCGUUGCCGGGGAAGAUUUGGCAAUAUCGGUGUGAAGAGCAACUUUAUUAGUUUAGACAUUUUAUUAGUUAUAGUGUGAAUGUUGUUUUCUGUUAUUUUAGUGUUUUAAAUGUGUAUGUGUUUUAUCACCUAUUCUUCUUACUAAUUUUGCUCUUAAGUUGUUUAAAAGUAAUUUUAGGUGAUGAGAAAGAUAGGUCAAUUUGGAGGACAAUGCUUGAGAAGUGGAAGAUUGGCAAUGGAUGGUUAUCAAGUGCAAAGCUCCUUCAACAGAGGUAACCAAAAAUUUACUGAAUGUAUGUCUUUUGAAGAUGGUUUAAGGUGCUUAAAGGCUAAAUUUGAUGUUAUGAUAUUACAAGUUCAAAUGGACACAAUUAAGCAUGAAAUUGAGCAAGGGAGGAAUGUUAAUGCUUUUAAUUCUUAUCAUGUGAUUUGUGACUUGUGUGGAGGUUAUCAUGCUACUAAUACAUGUAUGCAAGCACAAAAUGUGGAUUAUUAUUAUGAAUUCGAGCAUUACAAUCCUUGUUUUGAUCAAUAUAGUGCUAAUUGGAGCAAUUCUCCUGCUUAUGGUUGGGAUAAUCAAUUUACUUAUAGUAAUUCUUCAUAUUUUUAUGAUUACCAAUCUGAAUGUGUCCAAUAUGAAUCAAAAUCAUCUUGGGAGUUGGCAAUAGAAAAAGUAGCUAAUGAUUCUAAGCCAUCUUGGGAGUUAGCUUUAGAAAAAUUAGCUAAUGCAACUUCUGACCGUUUUGAUAGGAUUGAGGAAAGAAUAGAUGAAUUAGCUUCUCACUUUGGUAGAAUACAUGAGCAAUUGAAUGCAUUGUGUGAAGUUAUUUUCUCUAAUAAUUUGCAAAACGAUCCUAGCAUGAAUGGUGGGAAUGUUGUAUGUGAAAAUGGGUUGCAUUUUGAUGAAAAUGAUGAAUCUCAAUUGUGUUUCAAUGAGCAAAUGUCCAUUUCACAUGAUAAUAUUGUUGGAACUAACUUUGAACCUCAAGAGGUGAGUUUUAAUGACUCAUUUUUCACCCCUCUUGAGGAGUGCAUUGAAAGUAUAGGUUCUAAAGGUAUUCCUGCCCAAGAUACUCUCAUGACAUUUCUUUUGGUAAGUUCUCAAGUGGUGCAUAUUCAAGAUAAUAUUUAUGAAACACUUGGAUUAGGUAAGUCACUUCUAUUUCUCACAUCAUUAGAUCAUGUGGCUUUUGCUAUAAAGUCACCUUUUAAUGAUCCACCACGACCUAAAAUGGUGGAUUAUUCUUUAACCAAGCCUCCUUGAUAAUGAGGUUCAAUAGUCGAGCCAACGACUAUAAAUAAAAGCGCUUAUUGGGAGGCAACCCAAUAUAUAUAUAUAUAUAUAUAUUUUUUUUUAGCUAUUUAUGUUAUUUUGGGGUGAUUUUAUGUUUACAGUAUGAGUUUGAGUUAUUUUGAUGUUUUUCAUUUGUAGGUAUUGGAAAUGAAAGCAAAAGUGACCAAAUGAGGUGAAAAAGGCGAAAUUUGAUCAAGGAACUCAACCCCUCGAUUUGAGUAAUUGUUGUUUUUGAUUUGUUAGAAGGGGUUAAAAUGCAUAUUUUGAUCAUUUUACAUGUGCAUGCAUUGAGAAUUUUAGCAAACAAAUGAUCUAUGAUGCAUUUUGAAAAUUUGGGGUAUCAUUUGUAAUUAUUCUUAAGUUAAAUUUCUGCUAAAUUUCGCAGCAGAAAAUGCAUUUUUCUAAAAAAACGCGCCAGUGAAUCGCGUUUUCAUAGAAUCGCGUUUUCAAUUCUGCGCCUAUAAUGAAGAAAACGCGCCUUAAAAAUGCGACAGAAAGUCGCGUUUUCCAGCCUGAUCAAAAAUUGAAAACGCGCCUUUAGAAACGCGACAUUAAAUCGCGUUUUUAAGCAUAGCCGCGUUUUCGAUCCUGCAAGAUAUGUGAAGAAACGCGACUUCAAAAAACACGGCUUGGUGGCGCGUUUUGAUGAGUCACGUUUUCUGAGCGAAAAUGCAGCUUCCUUGAUUCUCUUUUUCUUCUUUUUCUCAUAUAUUUUCUUGUACCUUGAGUUGCUUAUUGUAUUUUUUAUAGGUACAUCACCAAAACAAGAGCUUGAAGUUACGGAUCGCCGUUUUGAUGUCUUAAGCCUUUGUUAUCACUUUUGUUUCUCAUUUUCCAUUUUUAGGUUUACAUCACUAAUGGUUAUCCAAUGGAACUCAUGAAGCGUUGGAGAUACACGGACAAUGGAUCUUGAAGCUUCAUAUUCAAUCACAACAAUAGGGGAGUAUUACUUUCUUCAUCUUAAUUUCCCUUUUUACACAUUGAGGACAAUGUGCAUGUUAAGUGUGGGGGGAAGAAUUGAGAUUAUAUACAUUGUAUGUGAUUGAAUUAUUAGUUGCAAAUAUUGGACUUGUGUUAAAAUUCAAAAUUUUUCUAACAUCUUGUCCAAAAUUGCAAAUUUGCCCCAAAAAUUUUAAAAAUUUAAAUUUCAUCCAAAGGGGUAACAAAGUUCCAUACCAUUAGUAGUUCAAAUUCCUUCUACAUUUGAGAUAAAUAUAUGUGGUUUAAGCACUUCUUUUCUCAUUUAACUUGGAAAUGACUAUUAUGUGAUUAUAAUUUUUGCAUUUGUAAGAAAGUAUAUCUUUUAAAGUGGAGAAAAUUAUGCCUAUAUUUUUUUUUGCAUAUUUGAUGAAAUUUCUUCGCUUUAUUUGAUUUUAUAAGUUAAGUGAUAAAUAUGGUCAAUAAGUGCAAUACUCUUCUCAUGAUUAUUCUUUUGAGGAAUUUAUUAUUAUCUUUGCUGUAAAAAGAAAAAAAGAAAAAAAAGUGAAAAAAAAGAAGAAAAAAAAAUUUAUUUAUUCUACUCCAAUGAUUCUUGUACUUAGUAACCGGGAGUCUUCAUCUACAAAUGUCGACUUUCGCGUAAAACGGUACUUGAAUUAAGAGUAUGCAAAGCAACUUGAGUAUGUGAAGUGUUGAGUAACCGGUGAUCUUCAUCUAAAAAUGUUGAUCCUCGCGUAAAAAUAUACUUUCACAACUUAAGUAAUAUUAGCUAUAUUAUAUAAAUAAAUCCCUUUUUAAAUUAAAUAAGAAGAUGAUCAUGGGUUUAGAAAGCAUAUUAUUGACCAUAUAAGUUACUUACUUGUAAGAUUGGGUAAGGAUGAAAAAUGGAUUUGAACCUGUUAUAAUUACGGUAUAAUUGGCUCUCCUUUACUUGAUAUUAUGAGUACUUGAAUUUAAUUGAAUAAUUGCAUAAUGGUUAUUUACUUUGUUUUGAGGAAAUGAAGUUGAAAUGCUACAUAUGUUUAUUUUCAACUUUUGGAUCAUGGUUGGUUUGUAUUUCUUAUUGCUUGAGGACAAGCAAUGAUUCAAGUGUGGGGGUAUUUGAUAAGAGUUUAUUUUACGUAUUUUUAGUGUGUUUUAUUAGUUAAUUUUGGUUUGAUUAUUUAGUUUUAUAACUAAAAUAACUAAGGUUUUGGUAAAAAAACUACAUUUUAUGUUAAAAUGGUUAAACAUUGCAUUUUAUGGAUUUUUAUGGUAAAAAAACUUCAUAUUUUGUAGGUUUAAUGAUUCAAUCAUCAAAUGAAGUGCAUUGGGAAGAUAUUUGGAUGAUUGAAGAUGGAUUAAAGUGGUGAAAAAAAAAUAUGAAGUGUAAAAGGAAAAAUGCAAGAAAAGUCAGGUUUAACAACUCUGACACGUUUUGGUAUUUUGACUAUAUCUGGAGCUACACAGAUCGGAUCAAGGUGAUCUUGGUACCAUUUUGAAGCUAAGAGAUAUAUCUACAUUUGGUAUGAAGACAUCAAAGUCCAAUUCAGCCGUUUUCAUAGUCCAAAAGUUGAAAUACCGAAAUUCAACUCAGCUGUCCAAAGUGAAAAACAGAGCUCCGACCAGUCUAUAGUAUUUCGGUCAUAUCUCAGGCUACAAAGCUCCAAUUUGGAUGAUUCUUGAAGCAUUGAAAAGCUAACUUAAAGGGCUACAACUUUGGUGUUUUACACAAAAGCUAGUUCGGCCUUUAUGAUAGACAAAAUCGCAGAUUAAGUAAGGUCAAAGUGAAUACGCGAGUACACAAAACGUGACUUGUAACCGCGUUUUGUGUAGGCGCGUUUUCUGGCCGAAAUUCUGCAAUUUGACUCAGCCAUUUCCCUUGUGUUCAUACCACUUUCCAGCUAUAAGAUGCAAGGGAAUUCGGUGCACAUGCUUCAGAAGACAAAAUGGCAGACAAUAUGGCUUAUUUUCAAGUCAAAAACAAUGGUUUUUGACUAUCUUAACAAAAUGAGAUUUGAAGAAUCAUAGCAGCAAAUUUGGACUGGGAGAAGAGGAACUUUUCAUGAGUUUAUAUGCAGAGACAGAGAGCCAUUCAUUCAUUAUCAUACGGGGAGAGAACUUGAAGUGCAGAAAUGUAGUUCUUUCAUUUCCUUAGUGUAGGAUAGUGUAGUAAGUGUAGUUAAUCCAUUCUUGUAUAAUAGCUAGAUUAGGAUGAAGAUGGAGAUAAAGAAGAAGGAGUUGAAGCUCAAGUGACAUGGGUUAUCUCUACUCCAAUUCUUUAUCUUUUGUAUUGGAUUCUUAACUAUGGUUAUAAUGCAAGUUCUGGAAUUUAUGUUUAUUAUUUGUUUCUAAAGUUUAUGCCUUGGGUUUGGUUGAACUUCCUAUGAUUGUUAGUGUUUAUCAUUUGGCUAUUUAACUGCUAUGAUUUGAGCAAGUUAUUUAGCACUUUAGCUCUUUAAAUCAUGAUUAAUCUGGUACCAUUAAUUAUGAUUAUCUAAGGUGUUAUUUCUACAAUGAAAAUUGAGAUUUAACAUUAGUUCAAGAAGUGCUAAACAUAGGGAAUACACUCACGAGAGUAGAGGUGCACCUAUGGGGUUUUGGUGAUUUAUUUCAUGUAAUUUCAUUGAAGAAAUGAACUUGUAACUAAUUUCAUAACCAUGAGAAUAGGUAUGGAUUGGUUAUUAGUAUAAUUGAUUCACUACGAAAGUAGGAUUCAAAUGCAUAAGGAAAUUACACCAUAACUAGCCUAGAUGUAGUACUCAAUGAUCCAAAUAUAACACUUGCAUGAGUAGUUAGGGAUACCACAACCUAAGGAGCUUUUAUUUGUUAUUUUGUAUAAUUUCAGUAGGUUAAAUUUCUUAUAAUUCAUUGAUAGUCUAAAUAAUAGAGAAGCUUUAGUAAUACCGGUAAUUGUUCACUCUUCCCUAUGGGAUCGACCCGAUAUAUACCCUAAACUACUAGUUGAUCUGUAUACUUGCAGUGAACGGGUGUAAUUCGGUUUUUUAACUUGUACGUAUGUAAAAUACCCGUCAGUUGUGUAAAAAGAACACAAGUUACAGAGCAAGUUACAGCCUGAAUAUACUAAAAUGCAGGUAUAAAAUGCGGCCUAUGCCCUAGUUUUGAGCCCUCGUUUUGCUUUUUUUACAGGUUUGCCAAUUCUGGCCAGAUUUCAUUCUUGCUCUAUUUUUAGUCCAAUUUCUACUGAUAUUUAUUUGAUGAUGGAGACCGAACUAACUCUUGUACAAAACAUGAAAAUUGUAUCCCUUUGAGUUAGUUUUCCAAUGCCUUAAGAAUCAUUCAAUUUGGAGCUUUGUGGACCGCGAAAUGAUCAAAAUACCAUGACUGGUCAAUCUCUUGUUCCGCUUUUGACCAUGCAGAUGAGCUUCUGUAUGUCGACUUUUUGACAAUGAAGACAACUAAACUGGACUUCUAUUCUUCAUACCAAAUGUAGAUCUAUCUCUUAGGUCCAAAAUGGUUCAAAAAUCAUCUCAAUUUGAUCAUUGUAGCUCAAGAUAUUGCCAAAAUACUACAAUAUGUCAAAGCUGUGAAACUUGCUUCCUUUUAUUCUUGAUUGCAUUUCCUUUUUUGAAUUUUCUAUUCUCUUUUCAUCACUUUAAACUAUCAUCAAUCACCCAAUUAUCUUCUAAAACCAUGCUAUUUGAUGAUUGAAUCAUUAAACCUACAAAACAUGAAGUUUUCACCAUAAAAAUCCAUAGAAAUGUAAUUUUUACCACUUUAACCAUAAAAUGCAUUUUUCACUAGAAUUCUACUUAAUUAGCCAUAAAAGUAACUAAAACACACCAAAACUAACUAAUGAAACACACUUAAAACACGUAAAAUAUACACUUAUCACACGACCUUAAAAAUGCGACCUUAGGUCUUGUAUUCCACCCCACAUUUUCUCCUUUACAAGUUUGCACUUUUUGGGUAGAAUUUAUCCUUGCUCUGUUUUUUAUCCAACUGCAAUCAUAUUUUUCUUAAUGAUAAGGUUCACCUAGCUCUUGUACAAAACACAUCAAGAAUCAUCCAAUUUGGAGCUCUGUGGAUAGCAAAAUGACCAAAAUACCCUCAACUAGUCAGAACUCUAUUUCAACUUUCGACCAUAAAAAUGCACUUCUAUAUUUUGCCUUUUUGACAAUGAAAAUGACUGAACUGGACUUUGAUGUCCCAUAUCAAAUGUAGAUCCAUCUCUUAACUUCAAAAUGGUAUGAGAAUCACCUCAAUCCGAUGCUUAUAGCUCAAGAUAUAGUCGAAAUACGAAAAUAUAUCAAAACUGUGAAAAUUCCUUUCUUUUGUUCUUGUUUGCAUUCCAUCUUUGCACUUCAUGUCUUCUUUAAGCUAUUUCAAAUCAUCAAUAAUUAUUCAAAUAUGUUCUCAAUUCAUGCCAUUUGAUGAUUGAAUCCUUAAACCUACAAAACAUGAAGUUUUCACCAUUAAAAUCCAUAGAAAUGUAAUUUUUCACACUUAAACCACAAAAUACAUAUUUUCACUAGAAACUUAGUUAAUUAACUAUAAAAAUAGUUAAAACACAUUAAAACUAACUAAUAAAAUAUGCAAAAACAUGUAAAAUAUGCACUUAUCAGUAAGACAUUAUUGGCCAUGUACAGUCAAUUUGCAACUUAAAAAGUUUGUGGGUAAAGUCAGUUUGCAACUGAAGAAGUUGAUUAGAAGUUGAGUUUUGCUGAUAAGUACAUUGAUUCUAUUCAUUUGUUUAUUCUUUCCGAAAUUAUUAUAGUAUCCAUGACAGUGAGAUUUAUUUCACAUUCCAGUGGGAAGCGCAAAUAAUAAUUCUUAAGAAAUUCCAAGCCUAUUAUAAGCAAUUUUUUUGGUGCCAUGCUUGUGCAAGAAAUAGCCACUUUUUUUUUUUGCAAUUUUUUAGGUUAUUCUCUAAACACGGUUUUAAAUAAUUUUUAUUUUUUGUUAUUACGUUGUCGUCCAGAUAUCACAUCCACAACAUUGAAACAUAAAUAAGUUUAAGAACUUCAAUAAUUGGACUAAGUUUCUUGCUGCACUUUGCUUAUUGAUUGAACUCUAGGACCUACUUGCUACUGGAACCGAGACCUCAGCGACUACAAUAGAUGGGCCAUUUCAGAGCUACUGAAAAACCCAGAAAUAUUCUACAGGGCAGCUGAAGAACUCGAUCGUGUUAUUGGUCAGAAUCGAUGGGUGAAAGAGAAGGACAUGCCAAAUCUUCCUUACAUAUAUAGAGGCUAUUGUUAAAGAAGCAAUGCGUAUGCACCCCGUCGCAUUGCUAGCGCCAAGAUGUGCUCGCAAAGAUUGCAAAGUUGCAGGGUACGAUAUCGAAAAGGGAACUCGAGUCCUCCCCGAAUUGUGGGAGACGACAGAGGAAUUUUGCCCCGACAGAUUCACGGGAAAGGACAUUGAAUUCAAAGGGCAAGACUGUAAGUUCCGAGCAUUUGGUGCUGGAAGAAGAAUGUGCCCAGGGUACAAUUUAGGCCUCAAGGUUAUCCAAUCUAGUUUGGCCAAUCUUUUACAUGGAUACAGAUGGAAGUUGCCAAAUGACAUGAUGCCUGAGGACCUGGACAUGGAAGAAAUAUUUGGGCUCACUACACCAAGAAAGAUCCCACUUGUUGCCAUUGUUGAGCCUCGGCUUCCUCGUAAUCUUUAUUCACUGUGAUUCUCUACAUGUAUGUUUGAUCUCCCAGUAUCAUCAUUAUCAACUUGUGUUCAAAUAAAUCAGCUCUGCAAGUUUAGAAUUUGUAGCUGCGCUUAUAUGUGUUUGCCAAUUGCCACAACGCUGCAAACCCUUGUAGUUGGUGCAUGGCAUAUGCGUAAUCACUGAGAUUGUUAUGCCUAUUUAAAUCCAAAUUUGUGCACAAUUUUGUGAAACUGUGAAUAUGUACACCCCUGAUGUUCCAAAUACAAUCUAUAACAUUCUGACGCUAAUUUAAAUCUGUAAUGGCAGGUUUACAGUCAAAGCAAUGUGCUCUCUGCCAUCUUUCCUCUUAGCAUGGCCAGUGCCAGAAGUUGUUCCUACUUCCUAUGCACCUCUAAAUCAUCCCACUAGAUUGGUGCUGCUUUCCAUACUUGUUGGGAGGGAGAGAGAGAGAGGAAAGAAAAGAGGGGAGGGUGGGGUGGCUGUGGCAGUGGUGGCAAUGGGAAGGGAGGGAGGAGGAAGAGCAGCAGUGGUGUGGUGUGGGGAGGAAGAGGAAGAAGGGCGGAAAGAAAGGGAAAAAAAAAAAGGAAAGAAAAAAUAAGCAAGAUCAAAUGUCAAAAUGUCACAAAUUUAUAAUAUUACCGUUGUGCUCUUUAUAACUAUUUAACUAAAAAACCAAAACAAAAAGAGAAUUUUUAAAAGACCAAAAAAUAUAGACGAAAAAAAAAAACCAAAUUGCUAUCCAAUAUUGGUCCAUAUUUCUUUGUAUCAAGGUGGUGGUGGGAUAGUAAAAGAUAUGAGUAAAUUAAAAUCUAGUUAAAAUCAAAAAGUUAGAAGGAUUUCUUUGAAGUUAUAUUUGGCGGAUUUUUUUUUGGAAGUAACAAUAUUAUGAGGAUUUGCCUUGGGGUAAUAGCAGCUUGACUUCAAUAUUGAAGAUUGUCCGGCACAUAAAAUCCCAAGUCGUAGUCUCCAAGAUAUAUGUAUGAAGUGACGACGAGGUUCUUGAUAAAUCCAUUUAUGACAGCACCAUGUGCAACUCAUGAUAAAUUCAUAGGCUUUGAAUCUCCAUUCGGCCAUAAUUAAAUGUAAUUUUAUUUAAAAAAUACAGAUGGAUACAUAGUACGUCCAUUUGAUUAAAUAGUGAUUCAAUUUCUUACGGAUUACUUUAGGAUCUCUUCGAGCUUUUUCCCAUUAUGUAGUAGGCUAUCUUAUCGACAAAAAAAAAAAAAAAUCUCCAUUCGGCCAAAAAUCAUACUCCCUCCGUCCCAGAAAGUGUGUCGUAUUUCGGGGGAAUUGUAAUUAUUAUCAACAGUGCAAGACUUUUAAAUGAUUUGUAUUUAAGUUCCGGCAAUGUCCCUUGACUUUCAAUGUAUUCAUAACGUGGGUGAAUGAUAAAAGGGGCACAGGUUGUGAUAAGACAUACGGGACCCAAAAGAUUUAAAUGCCUCCACACUACUUUGAAAGAAAGUGUCAUGCACGAUUGCUAUUACCAUUUCACGUGAGAGUCACGAACUAUUGAGUGUAGUGUUGGUACUUGGUAAGUGAACAGAAAUGUGUCACAUUGGGCCCACUAAAAGGUAAGAAAAGGCUGUCACAUUGAAGGGUAUGGAGCGGAAAUGUGUGAAAACUUUCAUUGCCAAUUUUAGUAAGUGACAAUUAUUUUGAGACGGAUAAAAAAGAAAAGUAUGACAUUAUUAAUGGGACGGAGGGAGUAAACCCAUGGGCCAAAAAAUAGAUAAACAAGUUGAGUACUACGCUUUGUCAUGUACCGUGAUAUUAUUAUUAUUGCGAAAGAAAGUAUUCUCUAUUAUGACAGGACCAUGUGCAACUCCUGUCAGACUCAGGAGCUUUCACCUUUCCGACCGGACUCGCUGUGUCGGGCGAAGGAGAUCAGAUGUCAAAUUUCAGUUGAUUUGCGGCUGGAAGGCUAAGGAAGCUGUAGGUCCUGAAGCAAAAUUAGAUGGUUGCCAUACAACAACAAAUCUUUUUAAAGGUUUUUUUUAACUAAAUAAAAUAUUCCCUCUCAAAUUAGUUUUCUUUUUCCAAAUUUCAGUUAUGUGAGUAAAUGAAAGCUUUUACAACCAUUAGUUCUUUUAAAAUAUUUUAAAGCGUAACUGCAUGUACACAUUCUAUUAUAUUCAUUUGUCUCUUCUUCAGUUUUUAUACUCCAUCUAGGAUGUCUAAUCAUAAUUCCGUAAAAAAUUAAAAACUAUAUAUAUUUUUCUUUAUAAUUAGUCAAUUAUAAAUUGGUAAAGUUCUAAUCAAUUUCAUCCAUUAUCUAACUUGCAAGAAAGGAAUAGAUAUCUCCUAAAUACAAAGUUCAAAAGGAAUUUCUAGUCUUUUAUAAUCACGUUCACAUGAUGUUUCGGUGGAUAUCCAUUUGUCCAUUUUCCGUUAAAGAAACUUUACUUAUUACAAUCUUUUUCUUUACACUCCUCUAAAAUAGUAUGAAAUAUUACCAUAAUUCUUCACAUGUCACUAUUAAACCGAGGGUUAAGGAUUAUCGGAAAGUAAUCAUUAAAUAGUAUAUGAGUUUAUGUUUAGUGUCUUACAUUCAUUAAAUUUAUUGUUUUUUGGAAAAUUAAAGUUCGAAGAUAAAAAGAAGUUAAUGCAAAUGCACGGCUGAAUAACUGGUGGUCUAAUUCUAUUGCUUGCUUACCCACAAGAAUGACCACGCCAACACUACAUUAAUACACUCAUACUUUUGCAUUUCUUAAUUACUUGCAUUUCUUAUUCUUUCUUCCCAACAAUUCUACAGCCCAUAAUCAAUUUUAAUUCAGUAAUCUUCAUACAACUCUGAACAUAUAACUAUAUUUAAUAUAAAUUCUUGACAUACCUGCAUUUCAAUUCUCAAAAUCUUAUGGCAUGCCUUACUUUAUAAUGGUGUUUAAUUACUUAAGUUCUUAAACGAUCAAUCAUAUCAAAAUCAUAAACUUGUACCGUACAAUAGGAUGCUCUUCACAUCAUGAUCAGGAGUUUAGCAAUUAAUCUCCAUCAUGUCACAAUUAAAUUCAAUUUCAUAGCUAGGGGUGAAAUUGCAAAGCAUUUGGUUAAUCGGAUGUUUGAAGAAAUUUAAUUAAUUAAAUUUAAUAUGAAUUUAGUUCAGUCAAAUAGAUUUCGAUAUGGUCUUGGUAAAAACAAAAUUAUGAGAGUGCUUAAUUAGUUUGAAAGUAACUCUAAGUUCUCGAUUUUUUAUUUUAACUGGUAUAACACACACACACGUACAAUAUGUUACACAUGUUCACUUCACGUUAUUGUGGAUAUUUAAUAUUCUUAAUUACUACUUUCUUUUAUUCUUUUUUCCAUCAUCUCUUCACUUUCCUUCUUUCUUUUUCUUGAUCACUUGCAUUUUGUGAAAUUAUUUUUCAUGUUUCCAAUUGUUUGCUUUAAUUGGUUUUUCAUAUUUGUAAUUAUUUUUCAUUAAUAUCAAUUUCAUCCUAUUUAUGACUAACAUCUGACAGUGAUUUAUGCCUUUCCAAUUUGACAAUUAUUUGGUUAAAAAAACUUUAAAAAGAUUUGUUUUAUUGCAUUGCAAUUUUUGGGGACCAAUUAAUUUUGCUUCAGGUCCACAACUUCCUUGCUAAGCGUGUUGUGAGGGUUACACAGCGGCCUUGUUUAAAUUGUGCUUUUUUGCAAAAAAGAAUUUUACAUUUUUCGUAAAUAUAUUUUUUUCAAUUAUCUUUCUUAUCUCAUCUCAGAUGCAUCAAAUAGUUACAUUAUAUUUUUUUAUAAAGCUCCUAAAAAUAGCAAUGCAAAUGGAGCCCUUCCAGCCGCAAAUCAAUUGAGUUUUGAUGUCAUUUUCUGUGUGAAUUCCUUCUUUUGACAUGUAUCCACUUCGUAUGGUUGGAUCUUCCCGCUAUAGACCGAUCCGGUAGCAUAGUUUUUUUGCUCAAUCACUUAAGCUAUCAUGUUAGAGAUCAAUAAUCAGAGGCUUACAAACUUUCGUAAAAAUUUUCAUUUGAACAGCUAAAUAACCAAAGUCUGACGGCUAAACAAAACAAAAAGCUCAUUAUAAUUGCUGCUAUUUGUACAACUUUUCUGUGAUUAAAUAAAAUUCCCUUCCUCGUUAAAAUAAAUGAAAGAAAAUAUGAAGGAGAAAUUAAAUUGAUCUAAUUGUUUAACAAUUACUAGUAUUUCUUUUUGUGAUUUGAACUACUUCCUUUCCAUGUUUCGUACACUUAAAUCAGUGGCUUACACGUUUUCGUAUUGCACUAAUUUUCUUUUGUAAACCAAUAAUCAAAACUUAAAACUUAUUGCACUAGUAGUUAUUGAGUGACUUCCACGCCUUUGCUCAUUAUAAAUACCGGCCCCCUCCACAUUCCAAACACACUCAACCAUCUUCCUCCUUGUGCUACAAUCUGCCACCUCCAUCACCCCCACUGCUCCCACAAAAUGGAAAGCUUUUCUCCCAACUGGGCUGCGUGUGCACUCGCGUGGGUUGCAACGGUGGUUAUUAUCACCCAACUCUCGAAGCAUUUCCAUCAGAAAAAACUCAACCUCCCACCAGGUCCAAGGCAAUGGCCAAUAAUUGGAAACUUAAACCUCAUUGGCACCCUUCCUCAUCGCUCACUCCAUCAUCUCUCCCUAACAUAUGGCCCCCUAAUGCACCUUCAGUUCGGCUCCUUCCCGGUUGUCGUUGGCUCCUCUGUGGAGAUGGCCAAAGUUUUCCUCAAAACCAUGGACCUCACAUUUGCAGGGAGGCCUAAAACUGCAGCCGGAAAAUAUAUCACUUAUAAUUACUCCGACCUGCUUUGGUCCCCUUACGGACCAUACUGCUGCCAGGCACGUAAGAUUUUCCUUACGGAAUUAUUUAGUGCAAAAAGACUCGAAUCAUACGAACAUAUUCAGGUGGAAGAAAUGAAUUCACUUCUGCUGCAGCUAUUCAAAUCAUCGGGCAAGCCUGUCGUUUUGAAAGAUUAUCUUUCAACAGGGAGUUUGAACGUGAUUAGCAGGAUGGUCCUGGGGAAAACAUACAUUGAUGAGUCUGAGAACUCAAUUGUCACGCCCGAAGAGUUCAGGCAAAUGAUGGACGAGUUUUUUUUGCUGACUGGUGUGUUUAACAUUGGUGAUUUCAUACCCUGGAUCGAUUUCUUGGAUUUGCAAGGGUAUAUCAAGAGGAUGAAAAUCUUGAGCAAGAAAUUUGAUAGGUUUCUGGAGCAUGUUCUCGAUGAGCAUAAUGCCCAAAGGAAGGACGAAACUAAUUGCGUCAGCAAGGACUUGGUGGACGUCCUUCUGGGCCUUGCAGAUGAUCCCACUUUGGAGGUGAAGCUAGAGAGGCGUGAAGUCAAGGCAUUGACUCUGGUAUAUGUUACUUAAAAACUGCAUAACGCAUGCUGUCAACUUUUAAACGACUGAAAACUUGAGAGAAAAUAGUCAGUGAUCUUUUGAACUUCAAUACUCUCCCAAAAAUUUCUUUGCUACUGGAAACUUGAGAGAAAGUAGUCAGGAUCUUUGGAGUUUGAUGAAAAUUUUUCAGUGGAGGCAGAAUUAACAAGAAAAUUGCUUUUGAUAAAGGUACUCAAACAAGUAAGACAUUGUUGACCAUGUACAGUCAAUUUGCAACUUAAAAAGUUUGUGGGUAAAGUCAGUUUGCAUGUCAAGAAGUUGAUUAGAACUUGAGUUUUGCUGAUAAGUUGGUUCUAUUCAUUUUUAGCUAUUUUUUAUUAUUUUUAUUACGUUGUCAUCCAGAUAUCACAUCCACAACAUUGAGACAUAAUAAGUUUAAGAACUUCAAUAAUUGGACUAAGUUUCUUGCUGCACUUUGCGUAAUGAUUGAACUCUAGGACCUACUUACUGCUGGAACCGAGACCUCAGCGAUUACAAUAGAAUGGGCCAUUUCGGAGCUACUGAAAAACCCAGAAAUAUUCGACAAGGCAGGCGAAGAACUCGACCGUGUUAUUGGUCAGAAUCGAUGGGUGAAAGAGAAGGACAUGCCAAAUCUUCCUUACAUAGAGGCUAUUGUUAAAGAAACAAUGCGUAUGCACCCCGCCGCAUUGCUAACGCCAAGAUGUGCUCGCGAAGAUUGCAAAGUUGCAGGGUACGAUAUUCAAAAGGGAACCCGAGUCGCCGUCAAUGUUUGGUCAAUUGGGAGGGACCCCGAAUUGUGGGAGAAGCCAGAGGAAUUUUGGCCCGACAGAUUCAUGGGAAAGGACAUUGACUUCAAAGGGCAAGACUGUAAGUUCCUACCAUUUGGUGCUGGAAGAAGAAUGUGCCCAGCGUACAGUUUAGGCCUCAAGGUUGUCCAAUCUAGUUUGGCCAAUCUUUUACAUGGAUACAGAUGGAAGUUGCCAAAUGACAUGAAACCUGAGGACCUGGACAUGGAAGAAAUAUUCGGCAUUACUACACCAAGAAAAAUCCCACUUGUUGCCAUUGUUGAGCCUCGGCUUCCUUGUAAUCUUUAUUCACUAUGAUUCACUACGUAUAUGUUUGAUCUCCCAGUAUCAUCAUUAUCAACUUGUGUUCAAAUAAAUCAGCCCUGCAAGUUUAGAAUUUGUAGCUGCACUUAUAUGUGUUUGCCAAUUGCCACAACGCUACAAACCCUUGCAGUAGGUGCAUGGCAUAAGCGAAAUCACUGAGAUUUUUAUAGCUAUUGAAGUCCAAAUUUGUGCGCAAUUGUGUGAAACUGUGAAUAUGCACACCCCUGAUGUUCCAAAUACAAUCUAUAACAUUCUGACGCUCAUUUAAAUCUGCAAUAGCAGGCUUACGGUCAAAGCAAUGUGCUCUCUGCCAUCUUUCCUCUUUGCAUCUUCCAUCAUUCCCCUCGCCAAGGCCAGAAGUUGUUCCUACUUCCUGUGCACCUCUAAGCCAUCCCACUGGAUUGGUGCUACUUUCCAUACUUGUGCAAUGUCAGAGAAAAAGGGCAUAUGCUCAAGCGUUUCUGUUUGGUCCUCACGGCAUCUAUACUUAUGAUCCUCUUUCCCUGUUAUCUGCCUAAUUACUUCAUUCCCGGAUAAUAUUCUUAGGAGACAUUUCCAGAUAAAAUGUUUAAUUAUGCUUAAGUUUGAGACUUCAAAGAAUCUUAUUAGACAUGCUUAUUAAAUUUAUUUGGGCAAAUUACAUAUAAUCCCCUAUAGUUUUGUAUAAUGUCAAAUGACGCCUCUAAGGUUUCAAAAUAGCAGCAUAACCCCUGUGAUUUUUUGUAAAGUAAAAGAUAGAUGGAAUGCAUAAUCAAUUAUGGCGAUUAGACCACACGUGCUAUAAAAGUGGGUGUAAUUAAAUCAUAAUAUCAAUUUAAUCCCUUAUAUUGCAUAAAUGUCGACUUUAUCUUGGUGGUCUUUGCAUUUAUCCAUAUAAUCCCCGUAUGAUGUUGUAUAAGAUGCCAAACUGUUGUUUGAUUUAGCAUUUAAAUAAGGGUAAUACUGUUAUUUCAACUAAUGGCGUCAUAUAAACUAUUUUUUGUCAAAUUUCUAAUUUAUAUGAAAUCAUAGGCAGUGAAGUGAUUAUUUUAAAACUUUGAGGGGUUCUAUAACAAUAGAUGAAACUGCAGGGGAUUAUUGGUAAUUUAUCCAGUUUGUUUUGUUCAUUAGUUUAGGUACAUGGACAUAUAUUGUCCUGCGUGUGUUUUCAAAUUGAAUUCUUAUUGGGUUCAUACCAUGGGAAUCAUGUGAAAUAAAUCUCUUACUGUAACAUGUGGUUGAGGGGAAACAUCUUAGCCAGUUCUCUAUAUGGUUCAAAGAAAAUUACUUCAUUACCAGUUUAUAUCAAAACUGUUUCGCACUUUUAUCAUUUUCUGAUAUAAUUGCGAAAUUUAGAGGUUUUAUCAAAACUAAUAUCUAUCGAAAGUUUAUCAGACGAUCAAUUUUUUGGCUUAAUUUGGUGUUCCCUCGAAGCCUGAGCAAAAGCAGCUUAUUAUCUUCAAAACAGAUGUUCCAAUACUGAGAGGAAUUUAUUCCAUUCCGAGUUUUCUUGUAGGACAUAUUUUCAUCCUAAGGCCGUUGAUCCAAUCUCUUAAUUGGGUUUUCAUGAUAGUGAUUGAAGGAAAAUGUUUCCAUCACUUCCAAAAUGCAUUUUCAAUUUCGAUACGUUUUCAUUAAUGGGUUCAUUUUGGUCGAAUCGAUUGGUCUCCAGAUUCAUAAUUCUCUCAAUUCUGACAUGCGUUCAUUAUUUAAAACUCGAGACUGAGAAGUGAAGCUACCAAGCUAAGGGGAUCAAAAGCCAAGGUGUCGGCAGAAUUAGGCAGGCUAACAACAAGGCGACUGAUGCGAUAGAUACAAGGUAAUAUGAAAGAGACAAACAAGUGUCGGCAGAAUUAGGCUGGUUUAUCACAAAUCGACUGAUGUGAUACGUACAAGGUAAUAUGAAAAAGAUAAACGAACAACAAAAUAAAAUAAAAAGUGCACCAGAAACAAAACCCAAAUAUUUUCCUAUUGUCAUGGCGUAAUCAGUGGUGGAUUUAGGACCCAAGAUUAGGAGGCAAUUACUACGAUUAAGGCAAAAAUUUUGUUGACAAAUGUUAAUAACCAGUAUGGUAGUUGUGUGAAUUUUAUUGAAAUUAUAUAGUAUUUUGCAACAAUAACAACUAGAUGAUAAUUUUUUUUGUAUAGUAGACAACAAAAAAUUUUUAUGUUUAUUUUUAUGUGCCCAAACUUUUGAAAUCCCCUUUUUUCCCCAAAAUUUUCAACUACUACUUGUCUCCAUUUUAAACGUGCCAUCAUUUAUAAACUGGGGAUAAUUUUAGAAACCUCCCUUGAGGUUUUUAACAAUUUCACUCAACUCUCCUGAGAUUUCAAUAAUUAUAUUGACCUCCCUUGAUCUAAUCAAAUGACUAAAAUAUCCUUCACUUAAUAGUUAAUUCAUGUAAUGCCCGGUGCAACCCAAUGAGUACAAACAAUUUCACAAUGAUGCACAAAGAUAUAUCAAAUAUAAGCACAAUAAAGAAAACUUAAUUAAAGAGAAAAGAUAAGAAAUGCAAACCAAAUAUCAAUCCAAUAACCUCUUCAAUUGAUGGCGAUGCUAACCAAGAUGUACAAGUGAAGGUUCACUCCUUCCUCACCCCAAAUACUCUUUGGUUGAGCCAAGGAGUUUUACAACAAUUCUAGUUAACCCUCAACAACCUACACUUGAAAGAUCACUCACCCAAUUAAGAACUAUUUUAUACAAAUGAGGCAACCUUCACCAAGGUUUUACCACUCCAAGUGAUAGGUUCACCUUCACCAAGGUUUUCACUUGAGCAACCUCACAACCCAACUUUCCCAACCCCUUAUACAACCAACAAAGAAUCUUUCUACUCAAAAAUCUCACUUGUAAUCUUGUAUUUUGUGUUGGCAAAAGUCUCUUGUCUUCUUGUGCUUUGGGGUGUUUAUAGAAGGUGAGAAAUGGCUUCAAAAGACUCUCCAACGGUCAAAUAUUAAAUGCUGUCAAAACUAGCCGUUGGCCUGUCGGACGUCCGAGACCUCCUGUCGGACGUCCGAACCCUGCGUCCAAACCACCUGUCGGACGUCCGAACCCUGCGUCCGAACGUAGGCAGAGAGUCAUCAAAUCUUUGCGAAAUUUCUCGGACGUCCGAUGCGAUCGAUGUGCGUCCGAGGCGUGCAUCCGAUCCUUCCGGACGUCCGAUGUUUCCUCACGAGCGUCCGACAGAGUUUCCUUCUUGAUGUUCUUCAUUCUUUCGGACGUCCGAUAGCGUCCGACAUGAGUGCCCUGUUUUUGCUUCUUCUUUUAUGCCACAAGAAUCUGUUCUAACAAAUUACUCACAUAAAAACAUUAGCCCAAAUCUACAUUUUGGUUUGUUAAUCAUCAAAAUCAAGGAUUGAUCGACCAAGGUCAACAAUCUCCCCCUUUUUGAUGAUGACAAACAAAAUGAAGAUUUCUUUUAUCAAAUAAGUUCAAAUAAAGCUCCCCCUUAGAAAGUGCCAACAUACAAAGAAAUUUCAAUAAAUCCUACUCCCCCUUUUGGUAUCAAUCAAAAACAAACUCCCCCUUUAUUUUUCAAAUCAAGACCAUAUUGAAUAUCAAAAUUUUCAAUUGUACUUACAACCAUAUAGCACUUCUUGGAUCAAAUCAUCAUGAUGUGCCUAAAUAUGAGAAAUUUCAUUUGGUACCCUUUCUUUAUAGGGUCCUUGGGAGUUAAUACGACAUGAUCUAGCAAUCCACAUGAAUUUCAUGCCUUUUCUCAUAUUUUUCUUUACAUAGCAAUCAUUUUGCAUAUGUCCAAAUUUGUAACAAAAGUGACACAUGAUAGAAGUAUUUUGCACAUAGGUGGAUUUAAUGCAACUAAUUUUCUUACUUCUUAUCAUAGCAAACUUAUUUGUGCCUUGAAAAGAUUUGCUUUCUUUUGUUUGAGAAAACUUUUGUUUUUCAUUUUGGAGAAACUCGUUCAAGUCAUUAAUUCUUUUCUUUAACACAUUUUGUUCCUCCAACAUUUUUUCAUAAAACUUUGUUUUCUCUUCUAACUUCCUUUUCAAAUUAUUUUUGCAAUCAAAAACACUUUUUUGUUUUUUUAAAUCAUCAUUUUCCAUUCUCAAACAUUUGUUUUCUUGAAACAGUUUGGAGUUUUCUUCCAACAAAUCAUUUAUUUUUGUUUUCAAAUCUUUAUUUUUAGCAUAAGAUUUUCUCAAACUUUUAUGCAUUUUAAUCAUAAGAAUUUUCACAUCAUCAUCUUCAUUAUCUUCAUCACAAGAAGAGUGAUAAGAACUUACCUCAUCUUCUCCAACGGCCAUUAGUGCCAUUUGGGCCAACUCUUCUUUUUCUCUUUUUGAAUUGCAUUCAUCCCAUGUAAUUUUGCAAUCUUCUCUUGAGCAUCUCUUGUUGAAGGUCUUCUUGGAACUUUUGAUGUGAGGAGUUGUAUCAUUGUCCACUUCCAUGAAUUCAUUACCCAUGAAGGAUGGGUUAUCCCCCACUUGAGAUGCUUUAAAAGCUAUGCCUCUCUUAUACAUUCUUGCAUUUUCUUCCUCUUGCACUUUGAAUUUCAGCUUUAAUUCAUAAGAGGUUAGGGUAUCCACAAGAGAUUCAAUGGACAUAGAAUUUAAAUCCUUUGCCUCUUCUAUAGCAUUUAUUUUGUUUUCCCAUUCUUUUGGCAAGGCAUUCAAAAUCUUUCUAUUUUUCUCACCCAAAGAAUAUUCUUUUCCAAGCAAUUUAAGAUCUUCAAUAAUGUCACAAAAUCUACUACACAUCUUAUCAACAUUUUCAAGAGAAUGCAUUUUGAAAAAUUCAUAUUGAGAAACAAGCAAAGAUUUCUUUUGUUCUUUAAUAUCUUGGUUACCUUCAUGAAAUACACACAAUUUAUCCCAAAUAUCUUUAGCUGAUUUACAACCUUUAAUCCUGCUAGAUUCAUUUACAUCUAAUGCAUUGUACAAUAUACACAUGGCCUUGGCAUUUAAAGAAAGGUAUCUCUUGUCUUUUUCAUUCAAUUCUUGUCUAGUCUUUAAUCUACUCAAAUUGGUGGUGGAGUCAACUAUUCUAGCUUCAUAAGGACCAUCUUCUACCACAUACCAUAAUUCAAUAUAAACGGAUUGUAAGAAAAUCAUCAUUCUUUGUUUCCACAUGCUAAAAUGAGAACCAUUAAACAUAGGUGGUCUAUCAAUAGAUUGCCCUUCUAAAAAAGAAACUUUUAUGGUUGCCAUGAUCUUUACUCUAAGCGGUUAAGCUUGAUCAAAAGAGACCAAGCUCUGAUACCAAUUGUAAUGCCCGGUGCAACCCAAUGAGUACAAACAAUUUCACAAUGAUGCACAAAGAUAUAUCAAAUAUAAGCACAAUAAAGAAAACUUAAUUAAAGAGAAAAGAUAAGAAAUGCAAACCAAAUAUCAAUCCAAUAGCCUCUUCAAUUGAUGGCGAUGCUAACCAAGAUGUACAAGUGAAGGUUCACUCCUUCCUCACCCCAAACACACUUUGGUUGAGCCAAGGAGUUUUACAACUAUUCUAGUUAACCCUCAACAACCUACACUUGAAAGAUCACUCACCCAAUUAAGAACUAUUUUACACAAAUGAGGCGACCUUCACCAAGGUUUUACCACUUCAAGUGAUAGGUUCACCUUCACCAAGGUUUUACUCCUCUUAGAGAAUAACCUUCACUUGAGCAACCUCACAACCCAACUUUCCCAACCCCUUAUACAACCAACAAAGAAUCUUUCUACUCAAAAAUCUCACUUGUAAGCUUGUAUUUUGUGUUGGCAAAAGUCUCUUGUCUUCUUGUGCUUUGGGGUCUUUAUAGAAGGUGAGAAAUGGCUCCAAAAGACUCUCCAACGGUCAAAUAUUAAAUGCUGUCAAAACUAGCCGUUGGCCUGUCGGACGUCCGACAGGUGCCUGUCGGACGUCCGAACCACCUGUCGGACGUCCGAACCCUGCGUCCGAACGUAGGCAGAGAGUCAUCAAAUUUUUGCGAAAUUUCUCGGACGUCCGAUGCGAUCGAUGUGCGUCCGAGGCGUGCGUCCGAUCCUUCCGGACGUCCGAUGCUUCCUCACGAGCGUCCGACAGAGUUUCCUUCUUGAUGUUCUUCAUCCUUUCGGACGUCCGAUAGCGUCCGACAUGAGUGCCCUGUUUUUGCUUCUUCUUUUAUGCCACAAGAAUCUGUUCUAACAAAUUACUCACAUAAAAACAUUAGCCCAAAUCUACAUUUUGGUUUGUUAAUCAUCAAAACCAAGGAUUGAUCGACCAAGGUCAACAAUUCAUAAAGGGACAUUUAAAUCCGUAAAAUACUUCUUAUUAUUUUACUUGUCAUUUAUUCAUCUCAAAAACAACCUCCAUCCAUUUCCUAAUGUUCAUUUCUUCCUCUCUCAGUCCUUCUCUCUUCCCUUCUUUCUUACUCUUCUCUUUUUUUCCUCCUAUAAUGGCUUCUCCCUCUCACCAAAUAUCGUGCUUCAUUGUUACCAACCACACCACUAUCAAUUUUUUAUCAUCUCCAAAAUUUAUCUGCAUUUUUUUGUCUUCUUGCCUCUUUCUUACUAUAAAACUUUUAGACCCUUUCAUUCUUUUUCAAUGUUUUUACUCUUUACAAAUGUUAGCCAAUUGAAGUCACCAAAUUAAUAAUGUGCAUACUGUGAAUUUUAUUAUUAAACUAGGGGAAGAUUAAAAAGGUGGCAAUGAUAUAGGGACAAAAAAAAUGAAAUUGAGAGUUGGAAGAUAAAGAAGUGAUCAUUAUGUUUGUUAAGUAAAAUAGUUUAGCAAUUAAAAAACUCAUUGGUUCUCUCUUUUAUUUCUGCUUAUUGAUUGUGGUUUUACUAUAAAGGUAGAAUUUUGUCUGUAUUUCUAGGUGUGCUAGAGCAAUAAUGAAUUAUAUUCUUCAGGACAUGGGGGCAUUUCUUGAUUUAGUAUUGGUAGUGGUGGUUGAGAGUUGCAUUGGAUAAGAAUUAGCAAGUAAUGAAUUUUAAAAUGAAUUGGAGUCGCUGGACUCUAUUUAUUUUAGUGAGUAUGUCAUGUAUAAGAUUUCUUGGUUUUGACGGCUUAUUAGUCUUGGACCAUUGGUAGGAUGUGGACGAAGGAAAUCACAUGUCAAAUUUCAUUUGAUUUGUGGCUGGAAGGCUAAGGAAGCUGUAGGUCCUGAAGCAAAAUUAAUUGGUCCCCAAAAAUUGCCAUACAACAAACAAAUCUUUUUAAAGGUUUUUUUAACUAAAUAAAAUAUUCCCUCCCAAAUUAGUUUUCAUUUACCAAAUUUCUGUUAUGUGAGUAAAUGAAAACUUUCACAACCAUUACUUCUUUUAAAAUAAUUUUAAGUGUAACUAAAUGUACAUAUUCUAUAUUUAUUUGUCUCUUUUCAUUUUUUAUAUUCCAUCUAGGAUGUCUAAUCAUUAUUUUGUGAAAAAUGAAAAAACUAUAUAUAUUUUUCUUUAUAAUUAGUCAAUUAUUAAUUGGUAAAGUUCUAAUUAAUUUCAUCCAUUAUCUAACUUACAAGAAAGGAACGGAUAUCUUCUAAAUACAAAGUUCAAAAUCAAUUACUAAUCUUUUACAAUCAUUUGAAUAUCCAUUUGUACGUUUUCUGUUGAAGGAACUUUACUUAUUACAAUCUUUUCUUUACACUUCUCUAAAAUAGCAUGAAAUAUGGCAAGCGAUAUUGUCAGAGCAAUUAUCUUUAGCGUAUUUUACUCAAAUGCCAAGAUCACCCUUAAUCAAUCAACUUUAUAUAUGUUCAUUGAUUUUUCUAGGAUCCAUUGUGUAUUAAUUACUCCAUUUUUCGCUCUCUAAUUAAGUAUUUCCCAUUAGGAUCUCUCAUUCUUCUUUCUAUCAUUUUCAUUUCUCUUUAUCUCACUCACACAUUAAUAGAUCUAUUAUUUCAUAAUUGAAUAAUAUAGUUUUUGCCUUAAUCUUUUCUUGUAUCAUUUUGGUUCUAUGCAUUCUUGCUUUGUUAUUCAAUCCUAAAACUUUUAUUUAUUCAUUUAUUUAUUUUUUACAAAUAGAACUUCAUUUAAAACCAACAAAUUUUAAUUUAAAAUAAUUAUUAUUAUGAUGUCAUUGUAACUCAAUACUUUAGCAUAAAUUUUUUUGACAUGCAACAUGCAUUUUUCUUUGAAUUUUGCUUGAUUAUCAGGCCUGUAAGCAACUAAUACUAUUAAAACUUUACCAUCUUUUUCUAUGUUAUAUUUAUCAUGUAAGUCUUGACUUUUAUCUUUUAUCGAAUAUUCAUAUUUAUCAUGUAAGACAUGAUUUCUAUUAAGUAUUUGUAUUCGCUAAUAAUUAGAUGAAAAUAAGUUUAAAUUACAUUACAUUAUAUAUCCCAUGAAUAUUAAAGGGAAAGUAAUGUUAUUUUUUGGAAUUAUUUUUAUUUUAAACUACUAUUUAAUUUGACUUAAAUUACAUUGUGUUUGAAAAAGAACCUUUUGAGAAAAAUUUUAAAAAUAAAAAAAUAUAAGAGCAAGUAGAAUUAAUAUACGAGAAAUUAUUAAAGCCAAGACCAAUUUAGUAAAUCAUGAAAAUAAUUGAUAAAUUAAUAUGAGAGAGAGAGAGAGAGAGAGAGAGAGAGAGAGAGAGAGAGAGAGAGAGGAGGGAGAAUGUGAGUGAGUAGGAAAAAACUUUAAUUGGACAGAGAAGAAGAGGAGUAAUUAGUGUUUAAUGGAUUAAAAAUCAAGAAAAAUAUAUGGAGUUGACUGAUUAAAGAUAACUUUAGCAUUUGAGAAAAUUUUGCUUUGGCCGGAACAUUAUUACUCUGGAUGGAAAUAUUGCAAACCAUGAAAUAUUACUAUAAUUCUUAACAUGUCACUAUUGAAUCAAGAGUUAAGGUUCAUUGGAAAGCAAUCAUUAAACAGUAGUAUAUGAAUUGAUUAUUGUUAUUCUGUAUAACUUUCAGAGUAUGUUUUAUGUUUAGUGUCUUAUAUUCAUUAAAUUUAUUAUUUUAGUUCAUUUAUAUCCAUUUUUUUGGAAAAUUAAAAUUCGAAGAUAAAAGAUGCCAUGCAAAUGCACUGGUGAAUAACUGGUGGCCUAGUUAUAUUGCUUGCAUGUCCACAGAGUGACCAUGCUAACGCUACAUUAAUACACCAGUCCGUUGGUAAUACUUGUUUGCAUUACUCAUACUUUUGCAGUUCUUAAUUAAUUACUUGUAUUACUUAUUCUUUCUUCCCAACAAUUCUACAGCCCAUUAUCAUCAUUCCAAUUUAUUUCAAUUUAUUGCAAAGCCUUUGGAUAAUCGGAUGUUCGACCGAGUUUAAUUAAUCAAAUUUAAUAUGAAUUCACUUCAGUCAAAUAGAUUUCAAUAUGGUCUUGGUACAAACAAAAUUAUGAGAGUGCUCAAUUGGUUUGAAAGUAAUUCUGAGUUCUUGAUUUUGUAUUUUAAUUGACACACACACACGCACCAUGUCACAGAUGUUCACUCCACGUUAUUGCAGAUAUUUAAUAUUCUUAACUACUAUUUUCGUUUAUUCUUUUUUCCGUCUCUUCAUUUUCCUUCUUUCUUUUUCUUGAUCACUUGCGUUUUGUGAAAUUAUUUUUCAUAUUUCCAAUAGUUUGCUUUACUUGGCUUUUCAUAUUUGUAAUUAUUUUUCAUCAAUAUCAAUUUCUUCAUAUUUAUGACUAACAAUCUAAUAGGGAUUUAUGCCUUUCCAAAUUGUUAAUUAUUUGGUUAAAAAAACCUUUAAAAAUGAUUUGUUUUAUUGUAUGGCAAUUUUUGGGGACCAAUUAUUUUUCCUUCAAGCCCCACCUCUUUCUUGCUUGGUUUGUUGUAAGAGUUACACAGAUCCUGUUUGAUAACCUAAUUAAAUAUUUAAAUUUAAUGAAUUUAUAUCUUAACAAUUUUGUAUGGCCCCUUAUAACCGCUAAUUUUCUUUUGUAAAUCAAUAAUUAAAACUUAAAACUUAUGCUAUUGGCUUAAUUAUGGGGUUUUGGUUCUGCCGCUGCACUUGAGAUACUCAGCCCCCUUUAAUAAGCCCCGUACCCAACCUAAUCAAUGUAAUGCUACCACUUUACCUUGCCCACGUGCAUUUAUUUUACAACAUUUUUGGCUGCAAUUUGUGAAGACGGUGGAAUUGCUCUCCAAUUUCAUAGCCAUCUUGUGGCAACAUAAUGAAAAGUAUAUGACAGGUGUCGAGCCUGUACAAUAAUAAUUACUAAAAAGUCCUAAUUACCACCACAAUUAAUUAUAGAACAAAUCCAAAUACUGGAGCAAGGAUCCUAGGUGUGCAAUGGGUUACUUGAUUCACCCUAUUCCGGAAGAGUUUGCUUGAUCCGAUAUACCAAAUUUGUCUAUAAAAAUAUUAAAUUUGCAUACAAUAGCAAGUAGGGUCGAUUCCACAGGGAACGAAUAGGAAAUUGUUUCUUUCCAAGUCAAUAGAGCAAAAUUGGGGAAGAUUUGAUGGAAUGCAAAUAAAAAUAAAAUAAACAAAACUCAAAAGCUAACUCACCAGGUACAAUUUACUAAAAAUAACAAUUAAUAAAAUUCUACCCAAAGGAUCAACUCUUUAGGCACGGUCCAAUCAAAUGAUCAUCGAUGCAAAGAUAUUUCAUUCAUUCGUCACUAGGUUGGUUAUAACUAUCAACAAGCUCUGACAGCCAGUUCUUCCUUACUUUUCCGACAGUCAAGGUACGACCAUUGAUUGUUUCUCUAAUCAGAAAACAACCCUAGAUACGACCGUAGGAAUUUAAUUAUCCAAUUGCAUUAAAACUAGAAAAACUCAACCCUAACCAAUAAACAUGCUAAGAGAGUUUAUUUAAAUUAGAUCUUGCAUUCCCCCAACAUAAAGCCAAUUAUGGUGGUUGUCACUAGAUAUCAACUAAGCGAAUAAUUACGGAUUCAAUUUAGCUAAUGUGACAGUAGGCUAUUAAAUUAAAUUAAACACCCGGCCGUUGAUAUUCAAUUAAUAAAAUACCCAUGAACGAUUAAUCCAGAAAAUGCACAAAUAGCAACAAGUUGGAAGAAAUAAUGAAGAUUCGAUAGGAUCUCACAGAUAUUAUAGACCGCGCCUUCGCGUCAACCUUUGGAUAGAGGAGAAAACUAGCCGCUCAUCAUCGUAUCAAUUUCACGUGAUUUGAUUGAUUCCAUCCAUACAAACAUCAAAGAAUUUGCAACGAUGAAGUACCGAAGAAAGAAAAGGGAAAAAGUCUUCCUUUUCUCUGCGUUGGUGUUCGUACUGAAGCCGAAAAAAUACAACGCAAAAGCUAAUGAAAAUUGUACAAGACCAAAGCCAAAGCAAAAGAGUCAAAAGUGUCAAAGCCAAAAAGCAAACGGAAGUCUACAACGUUUGACCGCUAUGGGAAAAGAAGACUAAAGCUAAUGUAUCAAUUAGACGUGAAUCUGGCUUUGCUAAUUGCUGCUGAAGACCAAAGGAAAAAGACGUCUGAUCCCACAAAAGCCAAAGCUCUUCUAAUUGAUAUCACGUGAAUCUGGCCCCUUUUUUUCCUUUGUUGCCGCCGCCACAGAGACCAAGAAACGUCUAUAGUUUUACUUUCUUUUGGAGCCUGGGCUUUGAUUCCAUGCGUCUGGUUUGCAUGGGCUUGGUAUCCUAGUUAGCCUGCUGCUACCAAUUUUGCGGAUCCGGCUUUGGGUGUUCUUUACAAUUUUUGGUGUGAGCAUGUCAUGAAAUAGAGAAACUUUUGAAAUUUCACCUUGCGGUUGUGGAAGCACUUUAUAUAUCAAACACCUACAAUUUAUACAAAUAUAAAAUAUGAGCAAAAACUAAAUACCUAGCGCAGGAAGUAGCCAAAAUUAGGAUAGAAUAACAGUGUAAAAUAUGCUCAAUAAUUGCUCUAUCAGUAUAUCAAAUCAAAAGGACUCAUCUAAACAUUCUGACAUUCACCAAUUAUCUCUCAUUCAUAGAUAAAAUAUGGAAAUCAUAAUUCUGCAAAUUCAUCAUAAUAUCUCCAUUAUAACUAUUGAAGAAAAUUUGAAGACAGAUAAAUUAUUUAUUCUAACUAUUCUUCCAUGGAAACAACAACAACAAAACCAAUUUAAGGCUUUUAACCCAUGUGCCACACUGAUCACAAUAAUUUGCAUAGUGAGUUCUUGCUAGUGGUUGUUGUGUGACUUCCACGCCUUUGCUCAUUAUAAAUACCGGCCCCCUCCACAUUCCAAACAUACUCAACCACCUCCUUUGUGCUGUAUUCUGCUUUCUUCUGCCGCCACCACCACCCCCACUGCUCCCACAAAAUGGAAAGCUUUUCUCCUACCUGGGCUGCAUAUGCACUUGUGUGGGUUGCAACGGUGGUUAUUGCACACCUCUCGAAGCAUUUCCAUCAGAAAAAACUCAACCUCCCACCAGGUCCAAGGCAAUGGCCUAUAAUUGGAAACUUAAACCUCAUUGGCACCCUUCCUCAUCGUUCACUCCAUCAACUCUCCCUCACAUAUGGCCCCCUAAUGCACCUUCAAUUCGGCUCCUUCCCAGUUGUCGCUGCCUCCUCUGU
rnacentral:lncRNA from 1 species